AAAAAAAAAGAAAAAAAAAGAAAAAAAAAAGUCAGCUGUCUAUGUUUAUAGGUACUAUGACACCACAUCAUCCAGUACUGUUCUUGUUCAGUGUCUCCAAAGAAAGGAAUUCUAGCUGCCUGUUAUGUGUUGGUCUUGACUACAGAAAUUAAAGUUAUGACAGUGUGAAAGACUAUCCACUAUGUCUCGAGCCUGACAAUCAAAGACCCAAGUGGUUAUGGUAGUUUCUAUGAUAAUUUUUGGUGUUUCAAUUAGUUUGACUCAUUGGGUUAACUUCGACAGGGGUGCUGUUCAUUUCUUAACUUAUACUACCCACAUGUUUACUAUUAUCUGGGUCACUCAUAUAUCACGGUCUAUGUUGUUAUGAUAGCAGAGUGAUGAAGUUUUUGCUUAACUGUAAUAUACAAGAUAUGAUUUGAUGGUUUGUUGAGUGUUUUUCAGUACUUUGUCAACCGACUGAAUGCCUUAUCCAGAUGACCAUAUUCGGCGCAUAUUUUUGACUCAGUUAUGCACUCAAGCAGGGGGAGAUAUCCAUGGUUUGUUAAGUUUUGUGUUUCUGCUCAUAUGGAGGAAUAAGAGUAUGGGGGAGCCAGGAUUGUGUUUUUGUCGAGUAGGUUGGUUAUUGCUUAAGACGGAUGUCCUGUUGGAUGCUUGAGUAGCAAACUAAGUAAAAAAAAGGGAGAUUGAAGAUGCAGAAUUCCGAAUUGAAGAUUAAUAGUGAGAGUUUGUAUUUUUUUGAUUUUAGGUGUGUGAAAGAAUUGAUUUUAGGUGUUUUGAACUAUUCAAAUAUGCAUUGUUAUCCAAAAUUUCCUAUCUCAUAUAUUAUUGGGUAUACUUCGAGUAGUGAUAUAUUGGGUAUUAUUACCCAAAUGACAUGUUUUCAGUCCAUACCCGCAAUCAAACCAUCAUAUCCAAAUAUACGAAAUGAAAACCUCUGAAUUCCUACCCACUUCCUACUAAUUACAUGUGUUCUGCUUGUUUGACACCGUUUUCACUUUUCAUUAUGUUGUUACCAUUUGAACCUUUAGUUUGUUUUUAAUUGAUUUAUGCUACUCUUUUUUUUCGCAAUUGAUUUAUGCUACUAUAUCAAAUUCAACAAUAUGUAGAAGAAUUCUUAAAAGAAAUCGGGUGUUAAUGGAUCGAUCCACCCUGAUUCAAAUCAUCAUAAGAAUGAGUUUAGCAUUUACCAACCUAUUUAAUAAAUAAGUUAACUCAAUAGAUUAAUAGUUAACUGACCUAUUAGGGCCUUUUUUGGUUCAUUGAUUUAUAAAUGUAUGUUGGAUUUAGAAAUCUUCAUUAAUUUUGAAAUCAUACAUAUGGAUUUUGAAAUAACAUGGUUUACCCUGAAUUCUUUUAUUUUUUAUCAUACUGCUGGAGUUACAAAACAUGGAUGGAAAGUGGAACAAUUCGACAUGAAGAAUUUAGGAAAGUAGAAACUGUGGAGAUAGGUUAAAUAUUCUUAGAAGUAACUAAGGAAAGUAAGUUGACCUUGACAAGCAAGAUGAAUAUUCUCUGGGGUCGCUGAGGGUUAGGGUUUUUGGGGGGCUUUAAAACGGGAUAUAUAAGGGGAUUGGUGAGUGUGGCGAGGGCUUAGCACUCACGGGAAAAAUACGAGUUCAAAAAUCUUCAAGGCAAAAAGAAAACAUGUAAGAAGGUAAGAAUGUGAUAAACUCCUAGAUCUUUCAAGUAAGACAAGAAAGGUAGAGAGUGAGUAGCUUGGUUUUUGUUUCUUGGGAGAAAAAGUCUAUUAGAGUAGAAUAGCACAAGUUUCACCUAGAUAGUUACAAGCUAUUGUAAAAGAUUGAACUAUCAAUAAAACAAAGACAAGCGUUUGAUUCGCCGCUUUCCAGAUUGUGUCAAUUAACUAUUGUGUACCCUUCUGUAUCUAUCAACAUAAAACGAGAAUUCGAAUUCGGGAUUCAAACCGAAAUCCCUAACAUCUCACCAAAGACUCUCUUCCCAAAAAAUUCCACACACUUGUUGAAAAUUCUAUUUUUCUCCCUACUUGAAUCGUUCAACUUACUUCACUAUCUAACUCGACCUAACUAUCUUUUUCUCACAUAACACACUCGUUAUAAAGCAAGCAAGCUAAGAACAACAAACAACUCACGCGUGCUUCUCACAUGGUGUCGACUUAAACCUCUUUCAAGUGAGAGCUUCCACUUUAACGAGAGACUUCAACCUUUUUAGCACAAUUCAGUUCCAUCUUUUUUUUUUUUUUUUUUGAUAACUCGGGUGUCCGGCCCCACCGAGGUGGAACCGACUAGCGUGGGACCCACAUGCGUCAUCUGCUCUAGGGUACCCCACAUCCCGGGGAGCUAGCGAUUCCCUCAUGUAAAUCCGCCAGUAGCCGUGCCUCGAACCCUGUGGCGGAAGUCACAGCCGUGACCCCUUUACCAUUAGGCCACAAGGCCCGGUUUAUUUUGAUCUUUUAUUAAAAGGAAAAGACAUUCAAAAAAUUUGAGAGGUUGAGAAGAAAUAGACAAGGUAGGCUGGGAAAGCCUGCCACGUCCGAAAAAUGGAGAUUGACGUAGCUAAAGAAAAAAGAAGCAUACCAUGUGCAGACCCACGUAGAUCUCCCAUUAAUCCACUAGAAUCUCUUUGUCUUUUUAAAUCCUUUUUCAUUAUGAAAUAAAAAGUUUCCUCUAGAAUAUACAAAACAAAUUCGUGACACACAUUGUAUUCUUACAUGAAUUUUAGUAGAUUCCGUAUCGAUCGUUGUUAUAGUUGCCAUUACGUAUAUACCAAAGCGUAACGUAUCCAUCAAUAAAUACCAAACACACAAUUUAUAUAAAAAAUAAAUAGUUUACAAGUUCUUUACCUAUUUUCUUUCUUUUCUUUUUCUUCAUUUUCUUACCUAAUUAAUUCCCCUAAUUAUAUAUUUUCCAAAGACAUAUACGAAAACCAAAUUAAUUAAGAAAUGCAACAUGCAUUAGGGUUCUCGUCGCUAAAAAGCUGCGGCGGAGGAAUCCUCUCUAUGACGUAUGAAGGCUGAUAGUAAUACAUCAUCCUCUUCAUCCCUUCCACUUCCGCCAUCGCCGCCAUUUCAUCGUCUCUUCUCUCUUCCUCCGUAUCCGCCGCGUCUUCUCCACCACCUUCCUCUCUAUUUUCCUCUCCCUCCUUCUUCUUCUCUUCUUCCUUAUCCUCUCCGGUUUCUGGCGGUUUUUCAUCGCCAUCACCAUUCUCCUCCUUCUUCUCUUCCUCCGCGGCCGGGUUUUCAGGUUCCGGGUCAGGUUGGGGUACAAUUCGGGCUUGCUUUUUGGUCCGACGGUAGACGUAAUCCACAAGCUUCUCGGCGUCCAUUGUUCCAGUCACUAUUACUUUUCCAGUGGUGUGCUCCGUCACAGUUGUUUGGACCCCUAACCAACAAUAUUAGUUAGUCCAAAUAGAGCCAACCUCAUGUAAUUCAAUAUUACAAUUUUUUAAAUGAAAAAAAAAAGAAACUUAGUUUGUCGCAAAAACUGUCUAAUUUAAUGUUUUAUGAAUGACCAGAUUAAAAUAUCUUAGAAACCAAAACGCUUCUAAAAGUACAAAACCUCAUGUCAUCACAAAUUUUAGCUUAAACAUGCAUGUGACGUGAUGCAUAACGAGAUAUCUAGUAACUUCUUUUUUUUUGACAUGAUAUAUAAUGAAUCUGAAGGUGACAUCUAUAGAGAAUGAUAUAUUAUUUUAAUAUGGAUACGUAUGUUUAAACAGUGGGAAAUAUAUAUAUAUAUAUAUAUAUAUAUAUAUAUAUAUAUAUAUAUAUAUUAGAUUUUUUAUUUAACGAGUAUUGUGAUUCGUUCAAAACAACAAAUUAUAAAAGAAAAUACCAUUUUUAAAUAUAACCAAAAACUUAAAAUCAUUAUUCUAAAAUUUACAUUUAAAAGGAGUAUUUGGUAUUGACGAGAUCCAGAAAUGUAUAUGUACCUCUCAUUUUGAGAAUCUUCUUCUUGAGCUGGUCAGCACAAGCUUCGCAGUGCAUGUUGACGUUGAGCUCGACGGUGGUGAGACCGCCGGAGACCUGAGAGGUUAUGAUCGGUGGCAGAGGCUCUCCCUCGGCUGCCGGAAGCGGAGAGAGGACUUUGGCCAUUCUUUUAGUCUUCUUCUUGAUUUUGUUGCACACUGCUUGCGGAUCCAACACUCCUUUUAUCGUCACUUGGUUCUCAUUCAUAUCCAUCACCACUUCUUCCACACCUACAACAUUUAUUAUAUACAAAAAAAAUGUAAUUAUUUAUUUCACUUUUGGAGCUUUAUAAAAUAAUAUUUUGGUAGUUGGGAUUUUGAGAAUGAAGCUAUUGGUUUUUAUUAUUUAAAAAGAGAAUUUCUUUUUGUUAAUUUAAAGUGAUUAUUCUUAGAUGAAUCUAAUUCUCUAUCCAUUUAUAUAUUUGUUUACCUCUAAUUUUUAGAAUAGAUCUUUCAAUCUUCUUAGCGCAUCCAACACAAUGCAAGUCGACGUAGAGUAUGAAGGGUGGAGGCGGUGGUGGUGGUUGCGGCUCCUCCUCCUCGGUUGGUUUCUCCUCCUCAGCCGCCACUUUUUUCUCCUCCGCCACAUCUUUCUUCUUCUCCUUCUCCUCCGCGGGGACGGCCUCUGGAGCAGAGACUGCCUCCUUUGCCUCCUUAUACUGAAAACAUCAAUCACAAAAUCACAAAUAGGCAUUUAAUUUGCUGCGGUUUAAAAAUAUAUAUUGAAGGAACUUUAGAUCUCACUGGUUUUACUUCUUCACCCAUGUUUUAGAAUCUGUGGUUAUACGACGAUAUGGUUACAAAUGAAACGAAGAAAAGAGAUAUGUUAUGGAGGGAAUGGGUAGAGAGAGCGAGUAUUUAUAUGAAACACUAGUAUAUAAAAAGAUGAAGGAGGAAUGGAAUUAUUGAUGAAUAAUUAAAGCUAUAGUAUAAGGUAGGAGCUAAACAGAACAUAAAGCAUAAGAGGUUGAUUCCAUAGCACAUGGCAGAAACUAAUCAUCCAACAUAUAUAGACACACCCCUUCACCUUUGUUACCUUAUAUAUAGAUUUAUUCUCACCACUAAUUAUGUUUUGUAAUUAUUUUACAAACAACUUUUUCGAAAAAAAUUUCUUAUACUAUUUUUUUAAAAAAGGACCGGCAACAAAAUGGUCCGAGGUCGGUAGGUUUUAUAGGCAUAAAAUGUGAGUGUUCUUGAACAUGUACCUUGAAUGGUUUUGUAAUGUACAUUACAAAAAAGACAUGUCAUUGUAUUAGUUAUUGAAUUAUAUAUUCCGUUUGUUUCUACGUAUAUAUUGGUGAGCCCUGAUGAAAUUCAAAUUUAGAAUUUAAUCCCGGAAGUUGUUCGUUUUGUUGAGUCAGUUUUUUUAGUUAGGCUUCCGAAAUAUAAUAAAAUUUAAUACUGUAUUAUAUGAAAUUAAUAACAAGAUGGCCAAAAGAAUAUGCACUUCGACACAAAUUUAAGGUUCUGCACCUAAAAAUGUGGCAUGUCAUUUAUAUUAAAGUAUAAUCUCAGCAAAGAUAUAUCAAAAUCUAGUUUUUAUGACUCAACAUCAAAAUUCAAAUUCUAAGCUUGAUAUAACGAACACCAUCUGCUCAAACAAACGAACCACAUAUGUAUAAUAUUCUAACCAACAAUAGAUUCUUUGUAAAUUCCUUCCACUUGUUCCUUUUCUUUUCAUGUUAUGGAAUUCAAAUUGGUACAGAGGUUUUGGCUUAAUUACUUCUCCCUUCUCUUGAUAUGUAGUAGGAGUAUAUUUUUUAUUUAUAUUUUCAUGGGAGAAACGUAUAUUUUUUUGAUAACGAGGAAUGGGACCAUAUGAGAAAAUAAUUUUAGGCAUCGAAAAUGACAAUACUUUGCAUCAUACUCACCGACUUUAUUGAUUACAGAUAUAUUGUUCAUCCUUUAUUUUCUACAGUAAAUAUCUUCCAAUAUUUCCUAUUCUUAAUCUAUACUAAAAGUUAUAUAACCCAAUGUUAGUUAGAGAAAAAGAUGAUUAGAUGACGUCAUCAUCUCUACCCAACAUUUUGUUGUCAGCUAAUCUAUAUAUACAUUUUUGGAUGACUUUUAGCAAAUAAAUCCUGGAGUUGGAAUGUAUUUACGGAUGAAUGCCAUUGGCAUUAAUUAUUUAAAUUUGAAAAAUAUUAAUUAAAGAUAUUACCAACACGAUUUUGAGAAUCAUAAAUUCAUAUCUUCCUUAAUUUUCUGAGUCAUUAAUGUGAUAAUCUUUAGGAAAUAUUUCUCUCUAAAAAAAAAUCCACAUUAAUGAAGGCAUUAAAAUCGACACUAACAAUUAAAUUAUUUAGAUAUUCAAUUAUUUUAAGAUUCUUAUAUCUUAUUUGAUAUUUUUUUUUAAUAUCUCAUUCUUUAAUUACUGCGUUUAGAAUUUAUUGGUUGUUACCUAUUUUUUGGUGAAAUUUAUUGGUUGUUACUUAAUAAGUAAUUAUGGUGCGUUUAUUUUAGUUAAUAUCUAAUUUAAAGGAUUUGUUUUCUUUUAUUAUUAAUAAACGAAUAACAUGUAUAGAAAUAAAAGAUUUUUCUUGCGACUCCAUAAUAAAAAUAUUAAACUCUUAUUUUCUACAUUUCUUACACAUAAUAUCCUCUUAUUCAAUAACAAAAAAUAUAUAUUGCAUAUUUUUAAAAAUAUUUAUAAUAUUUAAAUUAUAUAAAAGGUUUGUAAUAUUAAUAUUAUUUCAACUCUAUACAAAUUUAAUAUAUAUGUAUAUAUAUCUUAUGGGAACCAUUUAAAAGAAAUUUUUAAAUUGACUUGAAUUAUAUAGCUUUUAAAUAAAAGUAUUAUUAAAAAGAAAAAUAACUAAAUGAUGUUUAAUUUCACGGGACGGGUAAUAUGAUGGGACGGGUAAUAUGAUGGGACGGGUUUGGGUUGAUAUUUAUAAAAGAUAGUAUACCACGGGUGAAAUCCUAAAAUUAACAAUCAAAAUAAUCUAUCAAACAAAUUACAAUUUGAUUUUUUUAAGAAAAUAUAGCCCCGCGGUGUACCGCGGGUUAAAAUCUAGUUUUUAUUUAUUAAGAAAAUACUUAUACUUAUUUACUUACAUUACAAAGUUGAAAGCUAAAUCCCAAGCAAACUAAAUUACAAAUAAUAUGUUAAUUCUAAAAGCUCCAUGUGAUAUUUGUAAUAUGUAUCAUAAUAAUAAGAAUAGUUCAGAAAAUAUUUAUUUAUUUCUCAAUCGUCCAAGUAAUUUCUACAGUUCAAAGUGGUUAGAAAAGACAAAUCAACUAUAGUUGUAUACAUUGUACGAAACUAUUAAAUAGUUUUUCUUCGUUCGUUAAAGCGGGUUUGGUUGAUGAUUUAUCGCCUUUUAGAAGAAACAUCAAAAUCCUUUAACCGUAUUCUCGAUACUAAGAACAAUCUAUAAUCAGUAAAGUCACUAAACAAUGUGUUAUAUAUUUCAUAAAACUAGAAAAAUAGCAUUCCCAUUUCUUCAAAAGCAAUUUUUGGGGAUGGAUGCAACGUGGGGUGCCCAAUAAAAUGAAAACUAUUAAAAAUUAUUUGUGGAUUCAAAUUUUGUAAGAACCUUUGGCAUAGUGGAAAGUAGAAAUCACGUGGGAUGCUUUAGGUUAAAUUUGGACAAAUGAGAGAAUAACUUAUUCUUGUUUGGCAAUUGAGACUUAAGACAACUCUUGUAGACCAAUAGCUGUUUUGUUACUCAAUUAUGCGACUAAUGUUAAUUUACGUGAUUAUGUGAAGUUAAUGAAUAAAUUAGGGGCGUGUUAUAUCUUCUGGUCGAUAUCACUAUCAAUGUGUGUUCUAUCAGUUUUGCCCUAUUUGAUAUAUCGCAACUUAGACAUUGUGACAUAUUAUACAUAUUAUAUCAAGUAUAUAACAAAUAAGCUACAUAGUUGGAAGAACUAAUUAGAAAUUAAAGUGAUCCUUUAGAGGCAAUUGCGGUUAACCACUAAGACAAAGUUAGCUAUAAGAAAAUGAUAGAUCAAAGUGUUCAGAGAAUUCACUCAGAUUCUUAAUGUAUGUAGUUGACCGGUUUAUAAUCCUCGUUUGGUUAUUUUCUAAUAACUAUUUCUUAUUUACUUUUAUAAUUUUGUAUUGUUUUUGGAAUCCUUUUUUUAGUGAACAUCAAAAAGAUAGUCUUUGUGAAGUAAUCUAAUUUUAUUUUCUAAAAGUAUACAGAAAAAAAAAGGUAAAAAGUUCAGGUCCAUGUUUACAUGUGCCCAAACACCUGGAGCUGACUCAGCUUACAACAUGCUGAAUGUAUACAUUUUUGUGCGUAUCUAUGUGUCCAUCUUUUAUCCAAAUAUGAUUUAACAAAAGUACGUUUAUUUCCAUAUUUCUUGGUGAGUUUGGCAAGAAUUUUUAGUAAGUUUUUAGAGUUACAAAAUUUUAAAUCCAUUAUACUGUUAUAUAAAAGAGAUAACACUGUCUAAAAGACUCAAAAAUCACUCUUGUUUAGUGGGAAAAUAAUGCUUUUCCUUUACUUACUUGUCCUCUCAAAUUUUGUUAUUUAGUGUAAUUACUCUUCUUUUUUUAUCAUACAUCUUGCUUUAGCAAAAAUAAUUAAACUUAAUUUACAUUUAAAAUUGAACUUAGUAAGAUGAAGGAUAGGAAAAUUAAAUUUACAUAUAAGUCGAAAAUAAUUUAACAAGUAGCAAUUAUCAGAUAAAAUAACCCGCAACUAAAUUUUACUUAAAAUGUGAACAUCCGUUUCGAACAAAUUCAUACAGAACGGCUGAAAACAUAUAAUAGCCAAAAAAUAUUAAUCACUUGUAUUUUACCUUGUGUCCAUCUCUAAAUUAAUUUUUACUUUCUAUAUUAUUCUGUAAACUAAAAUUUGUCUCAACCUUUUGGUAAAACUGUUGAUAUAUCACUUAAUUGUAGUAAGAAUUUCCUUUAAAACUGUGAAUUUGGACUUAGCUUUUUGGUAUACCUAUAAAUGAACUUGAAGGAAUAAUUGACAUAGUUUGUAUCCUAUCGUUUUCACAUUUUGAGUCUUAAUUAAAUUUGAGUUCGACGCGAGAUAUUGUUCGGGUUUUAAGUAUUGUUUUAGCUGAAUGGACUGGAAAAACUUCUCAUUGUUGAGUGAUUUGUUAACCUCAUCAGAUGUUAUCACGAAUCAAAAAUCAAGACAAGAAUCUCUGGCUUUCUAUUGGUUUACUUUACAGAUCGUUUUUGUAUUUGUUGAUGAUACACAUAUUUUUUUUUGGUAUGAGGAGGGGAGACAAAAGCCUCCCCAUUUUAUUGAAAGAAAAACUUAAACACAAUUACACACGGACAUUACGAGGGUACGCAGACCCAUCGGUGAUGAUACACAUAUUUAAAGGUGAUUUUUGAAAUAUAUUGUACAUCGUUCUGGAAUUAGCAUGAAGUUCCCUAUUAUACCAACCGGCAAUUUGCGACUUUAAUCUGAUUCAAAAGUAUAUCCAAAAAGUAAAAAAAAAAACAAAAAGCCAUAUUGACUACUAAUUUACUCUAUGUCACAACCGAAUUAGUUUUUAAUGCUUGAAUAAAUAGACUUUUGUUUUAUGUAAUGUGCCAUGUUUAUGGUUUCUAGCAUCCCAGUCAUUCAUAUCCACAAUUAUAUAUUUACGCUUUAAAAGCGUCACCUUUGUUUGGCCACUCUAAUUGGAAUAUUGAAUUGAUUAAAUAACAUUUUGCCCAAAAAAGAAAAAAUUGAUUAAAUAACAUAAUACGUGAAUUCUAAAAAUAGUUGAGAUAAGUUAGUUGGUGUUCGGUGCAUCGCAUGUGGAGACAUGAGUCCAACUGCAAUGGCGUUAAGAUUCGAAUGCACAUAUUUUACGCAUUUACGAUGUUUAAUAUAUUGGAAAGAAUUGUAUGUCUUUUUCCUACUCAUAUACUUUUUGGGUUUUAUUCAAAGUAUGACACAACAUCGAUAGUACUGAUAUCAACUACCAUAUUACAAAAGUCUAAUUGUUUUGGUAACGCACUAUUUAUUGGCUAAAAUCUACAUAUAAUGAUGCCCCAAUUAUUCGUUUAAAUAAGUUCAAAUACUAGAAAUAUUCAAAUAUACUAUUAGAAAUGUAAAUACAAUUUGUAAUAGUAGACAACUAGACAUUGUUAGCCAACUUUCAUAUACAUGAUUAGAAAAUAUUCUAGCACAUCCAAAAAAUUCUUUACUUUUUAGUUAUUCGAAAUAUCUUACCUUAGAUUUAACCAUUUACCUUAGAUUAAUAGUGAGAGUUUGUAUUUUUGAUUUUAGGUGUGUGAAAGAAUUGAUUUUAGGUGUUUUGAACUAUUCAAAUAUGCAUUGUUAUCCAAAAUUUCCUAUCUCAUAUAUUAUUGGGUAUACUUCGAGUAGUGAUAUAUUGGGUAUUAUUACCCAAAUGACAUGUUUUCAGUCCAUACCCGCAAUCAAACCAUCCUAUCCAAAUAUACGAAAUGAAAACCUCUUAAUUCCUACCCACUUCCUACUAAUUACAUGUGUUAUGCUUGUUUGACACCGUUUUCACUUUUCAUUAUGUUGUUACCAUUUGAACCUUUAGUUUGUUUUUAAUUGAUUUAUGCUACUCUUUUUUUUUUUCGCAAUUGAUUUAUGCUACUAUAUCAAAUUCAACAAUAUGUAGAAGAAUUCUUAAAAGAAAUCGGGUGUUGAUGGAUCGAUCCACCCUGAUUCAAAUCAUCAUAAGAAUGAGUUUAGCAUUUACCAACCUAUUUAAUAAAUAAGUUAACUCAAUAGAUUAAUGGGAAAAUCACAUUUUUAACCUUCAAAGUGGCACUGGGUAGCACUUUAAACCUCAAUAUAAUUUCACUAGCACUAUAAACCUUCAAACUAAUUAUACUAACACUUUAAACCACCAAAUUAAUAGUUAACUGACCUAUUAGGGCCUUUUUUGGUUCAUUGAUUUAUAAAUCCAUGUUGGAUUUAGAAAUCUUCAUUAAUUUUGAAAUCAUACAUAUGGAUUUUGAAAUAACAUGGUUUACCCUGAAUUCGUUUAUUUUUCACUUUCAAUUCCAUUUAAAAUCUAAUGUGGAUUUGGAAAUUAAAAAUUACUAAACAAAAUAACACAUGAUUUUCACUAGUAUUUAGAAAUCAUCGAAUAAAGACUUGAUUUCGAUAAAGAUUUUAAAAUCAAAGAUCCAAUAACACAUGAUUUUACUUUGGGUAUCUAAAUCAACUAAAAUCCAUGAACCAAUAAACCCCUAAAUUUCUAGAAUAUAGUACUGGCACCAAAUCAAGAGUAAUGCCACAAUUUUAUCCAGCAUAAUCAAUAAUCGUCAAGUAUCCUGAUCCGAAUUCAGUAUUUCCCAAUCGUACAAGGCUACUACUAGCAUCCGAGAGCAGAAAACGUCGAAAACGAUUCACAUUAAAAUUCGGUACUGGCCACAAUGCAAUCUCAAGAUACAUGUGGUCAGGCAUAAAAUUCUAAACAUUACCCUCUGUAAUCGUUACAUGUUAAUAACUACAAGUCUACUACACUCCUAAACCGGCCUUAAUUAAGCUAAGCCAACAAAAACAACAACAGACGCAGAACCAGGCCAAGACCCCUAUUAUACACACAAAUCCAAGUGAAAACCACUUUCUUUAUCCUCACCAUACCAAGGGUCGAACAAACAUCACAUCCAGCGGAUUUAUGCGACCAGACUGCAAACCGACAUCACAAACACAGCCGCUACCACGCCUGCUCUGAAAAGCCCUCUGUAUGAACAUCCCAUAGCUGCAAUUUUCCUGAAUAUGACACUAGUCCUGCUCUUUGAUCUGGUGAAAUUUCCACAUCCUUUCGCUAUAGUUUCCGUUGUUGUGUCCUUAACCUGUAUCGCGUAAAAAUAAGGAUCAGAAAUCGUAAUGCAUGAGAAGGUGUUCUCAUUUGAACAUAUGAAAACAAACUAUUUUCUCACCUCUUUCUUGAUACAUAGGAGUUGUGUACUGUCGGUUUCUGACUUGUGGCUGUUACGGUUAACCUGAAGACGCAACCUUCUUGAGGCAUCGCCCUGCAUUACAAACUGCUCAGCACAACCCGAUGCUUGUGCUCGUCGAGCUCUAAUCUUAAUUCCUGUCUCAGUUACAUCAUUGAUCUUGUUGCAUGUGGUAAGAUUCUGUGGCUCGUAUGGGAUCUGUUCUGGCGUCUGUUGCACGAACUCUUUCCUCCCUGGGAGCUCAUAGGGUAUCUCAAGAAGAGAAUCCAAGAACUUGGACAUAUAUUCAUCGGCAUCAUUUGUACCAUACUGAGUCUGAAUGUGAUCCUCAUUGAACAGUUGGCUUGUUCCAGAUUGAAAACCAUUGAAAGAGGAACAAAGCUCAGAUUGCACCUGAGAGGGCAACGGAGAGAACAGAUUCUGAUUCACGGAAUCAAACUCCAUAAAUGAGAGCCAAUCGAUAUCGUCAAGCUGUUGAGUAAAACAAAAUUUGUAAGUUUACAAACCACCUCCCGUAAUAAAAAAGACGGUAUUCUGUUCAUCCUUACCCCGGUGGUUGUAACCUCAGGGGCAGAGUUUUCGCUACGACAUUCACUGGAGACUACAAGAGAAGAUUCAGCGACGUCACAAGGCUUUGUGUCUUCUAUAACCGGAGAUACCUCAGACAUUUCAACCUCAGAUUUCAUCUCAUCCACAACAGUUGGAGACGAGACCGCUGGUUCAACUUCACAUGACUUCGACUCUUCUAACGCAGCUCCAUUCACAAUAUCUUGCUUCUUAAACAACUUACAAACAACAAAUGGAUUCUGCAACCAUAACAAUCCAACAAACACAAUCAGAAACACAAAAGAUCAAAACACACAAGUAAUAAUUACCGUCAUUAGCCAAGUUUGUUUGUUACCUGGCCAGACUUUGUUCCAUCAAGAUCCUUCUCGGUAGCGCGGUACUCAUGCAUAAUCCAACAAGUUCGUGUCCCUUUAGGAGCACGACCUGUAUAGAAGACUAGAGUCCUCUUAACACCUAUAAUCUUAGUCUUUCCUGAUUUGAUCUUACGAUCUUUUCCCGUCGCCUUCCAGUAACCAGCCACAGUAGCUCGAUUCAUCCUACUUCCACUCGGAUACUUGCGGUCUAAUGGACAAAAGAAGAGCCACUCUGCGUCUGUUGUCUUCACAACAGAAAAAUCUACAACACAAUACUAAAUUAUAAAUCUUUACUCAAAUUCACUAAUUCAACAUCAUCACAAUUCUACAGUAUAAAUCUUUUCACUCAAAUUCACUAAUUCCAGUACCUAAACUAAAAAGUUAUUGAUCAUAUUGUUCCAAAUUCAUACGAAACCAAACUUGCAUAAACCGGAAUUGAAGCGUGGGAAUUGCUAAACCGAGACUAAAGGGCUAAAUCACAAAUCGUGUUGAUGAAGAAAGGAUAAAGUGAAUAUAUGUACCAGGUAAAUCCCAAGGCUCCCAUUUGCAGAUAUCGAUCUCACGGAUUACUCUGACGUCGUCAUCGUGACCGUUGAUCUUGAGUCGGAGAUAGUAACGAACUAACUCUUCGUCUGUUGGACUAAAUCUGAACCCUACCGGUAGUGAAGCGAGCGAUAAUACUUCCAUGUCUUCUUUCAUAGGUGGUGUGAGACUUUGAGAAUUCGAGAGGAGAAGCAAAACACAAAAUUCGAUUUGGAUCAAAGAUGUGAUUCAAAGGUAUCGAGAAGACCUCAGAUUCUAGAAUUUGAUCAAAUACGAAAAAAUUGGACACGAUUUGGUAAAGUGGUGAAGAAGGAGAUGUGACACGAUUUGGUCAGACAAAAGAGAGUUUAUCAUCAAAGAUAUGAAAAAGCGGCGCGUGUAUACACGUACCCACUGCUUCCCAGAAAGUCAUAAACACAAAACCACGUUCGUUACGCGUAAAGGCAAAAAACUUGGAAUACCUUUUUUACCCCUAAAGGAGAGGAGUAAAAUAGAAACGGAAACAAGGGUACAUGAGUAAAGUGAGGAUGUCUGAACGAGAGAUGUCGUCAGCUAGCGAAUCAUAUAUUGACACGUGGAUGUUAUUAAGGAAGCUUCGUGGAAGUUGUACGGAGUCAUUUAUUAUACAGAAAGACAAGUGUCAGUGAUUUCAAUCGAGGCGGUCUGAUACUAUGUUGCAUAACUCCAUCAGAUAUGCGUUUUCAGUUUUAGAAACGUUUCGGAAACUUUUAGAAACGCGUGAUUUCAAUCGAGGCUGUCUGAUACUAUGGGUCCGAAUGGUGACCGCGUAUUUGGUUGUGCGGGGAAAGCGGUUUUAGAGUGCGGUACGGAUCAACUGCGGUACAUGCGGUUUGCGGGACAAGUGCGGUUUAUACAAAAUAAGCGGUACACAAUAAAAUUUGAUUGGUGAAAAACUAUUUGCGGUGCGGAUUUCAUAUUCAUUUAUUAAUAACUACUACAAUUUAUAUGAAAUAAUUUAACCAUAGUUUAAUAAAAUCUUACUAUAACUUUUUUUCUUCUAUAGAUCUGUUUUUUUUACUAAAAUUAGUUAUUUUCUAAUUUAUGAAGAAAUAGUGAAGUAAGUUAAUUUUUUUCUAAAAGAACACAUUUUCAAAGUAAAAUAUUUAUGAGAAUUGUUAACAAGUUAAUUUUUAAAAAAAAACAUAUUUAGUAUAUUGUUAUUUGUUAAAAUGUGUGGAGGCAAUUUUAGCUUUUUUUAUUAAUCAUAAAUUAAAUGAAAAAAGGAAGGUUAGCUUUCAGCCUAAAAAAAAAAAAAAAAGGUUAGCUGUUGAAAGAAAAAAGAAAAAUAAAAAAGAAAAAAAGAGAGAACUGUUUUAACCUGUGCGGAAUUGGUAAAUCCGCUAGGUAAUUGAUCGUUUGGAAAAAUAGGUGCGGUCCACUGGUUAAUAUCUGAUAUGCAAAAACGCAAACACCUUUUUCUAUAUUUUUUGAAAACCGCACAUAAUAGAGAAAGAUAUGUGAUUGGUGACUUUAUGUGGUUUUCGAAAAACCAAACUGAAAUCCGCUUUUUUUUACGUCUCCAUUCACAGCAUAUGUUGCAUAACUCCAUCCGAUAUGCGUUUUUCAUUUCGAAAACGUUUAGGAAUCGGAAACUUUUGAAAAUGCGUGGAAACGCGUUUCCUUAAAAAUUUCACUCGUUUUCUUAGAAAGUUAAUUUGGAAACGUGAUGAAAAUGUACGUUUUCAAUUUUGGAAACACAUCGGAAACUUAAUUUUUUUUUUUGAAACUUAAAAAUUAAUUAAUUUUAGAAAUAUCAGUAUAUAUUUGAUAUUUUUUUCUUUAAAAACUUAAUUAGUAUGAGGAAUAUGAAACACUUAUUUUAUUAUUUGUGAUCAUGAUAUAUGGUCUUAAUUUUUGAUUUUGAGUGUUGUUAUCAUUAGUUUAGUUAGACUAUUUAAUAUUUUUAUUAUGUUAUUUAAAAUAUAUUUUAAUAUUAUUUUGAUGUUUAGUGUUUCAUAUAAAUAUAUAUAUAUAUAUAUAUAUAUAUAUAUAUAUAUAUAUAUAUAUAAGUUUUCAUAAAAAUCCGUUUCUACGUUUCUACACAUUUCGCUUCUGCGUUUCCGUUUUCGUUUCCAUGCAACAUACGUCCGAACAACAGUUCAUGAAGGACGCUAAAAAGAAGAGCCAAUGGGUUUGGUUAGAAAAUAAUUACACAAGUGGCCAGCCCAUCUUUACUAAUACUCUAAUAGAGUUUGUUGUUUAAGCCCAACAAAUGAGAACCCAAGUGAACCAUUUUUUUUUCCCCGCUUUAGGUCAUGAAUAUUUGUAAUUUUGACUUUUUAUAAUGGUUUUUGGUUUAGUUUUGAUUUAGCUGUUUGGAAAAUUUGAAUGGUAAUUGAUGUAGAUUUUAGUUUUUAGCUUUAAACAAAGAAAAAAAAAUUGAAAUAAAACACAUCAUUUUCCCAAAAAAUCAGUAGAAUGUAGUUUUUGGCUUCGGUUUUAAUAAUUGGUAGAAAUUAUAAAAUUCUAUGUUCCAUAUGUCUUAAGAAAACCAUUUGUGCAAAAUAUUCAAUGGAUGAUAAAUUAGUGUUUUUUUUUUUGUAGAAUUUACAAACGAUCAAGACCUUAAUUUCCAGAGAUUUUAAAUCCAUCGGCUUUUUUAGUUUUUUUUAUAUGAAAUUCAAUAAAAAUCUUUUAAACGGAAAAAGGUUUUAAAUGUACUGAACAUUUGAAUUCGUCUUAAACAUAGCUUAUAAGUUAUAACUACAAAACAUGUGGAACCGAUUGAGUCGCUCUGUUCUAUCUGAUCCAAAUUUUGUAGUCAACAAAAUUACAAAGUUUUAGAUUACUAAGUAUCUGAUGACGACCUAGCCCUACCCAAUUUUUGUUUUCGUUUCCAUUUCGACAGUUUUUGGAAAAUCAGGACAAGAGUCCGACUUUGGAUUUUCUUUGAAUAAAGUUCCUCAAUUUUGGGUCAAACUUGCCGUCAUCUUGAAUUUUGUUAUGACUUGCAAUUGAGACAUUGCAUAUUUAGGUUUAACUGGUUCUUCUCCAACUGAGAAAACAUUUUAAAUUCUUUACUGAUAGGGAUGUUAAAAAGGUUUUUUUCAGAAAAAUAAUAUUUAACAAGACGAUCUCUUUCAAUAAAACCCUAAUCCCAUUUUCUUAGAUUUUAUCAUUUCAAGUUCAUAAAAUUCAUACAUGGAUAUUUAUAAACCUAAAAUUUGAGAAUAUAUAUAUCGGUAAUUGAAAAUUAUUAUAUAUAAAAAAAUUAUUCAAGUCUCUUCUAGUUCUAAAGGAUUUUGAACAAAGAUUUUAAAAUUUGAAUAUUAUUAAAAAUAUUGUGUUUUGUAAAAGUUCUAAAUAGUGUAGUUUUGUUUUGUUUGACUACUAUCACACACAGUGCCGGUCCGAGCAUUUGUGAGACCCUAUACGAAAAAUAAAAUGAGGCCCAAUAUAUUUAUAAGUUUUAGGGCUAAAAAUUUUUUUUUUACCUAUUUUUAGUAAAUUAUACAAAAAUAAUGAUAUUUUGAAUAUUAUUACAUUCAAAUUUAAUUGUUUGGGCCCUAUUUUAUUUAUUUUUUCGAAAAAGACUUUAGUUUCUACCAAAUAUUUUCAUUUUAUGGCCUUUUUACCAAAAAGAAAGAAAAAAAAAACCUUUAAAAAAAAAAAAUUGUGGUGCCCCAAGCCACCGCUUGGGUGGCCUGUCCUGCGGGCCGGCCCUGAUCACACAUGUUGUCAAGAAGUCAAGAUUUUCCCGCACACUUUCUUUGAGCGUUAUAUCCUAUACUCGCUUAGGAUGGGAAAAAGGGGAUUUUCAUACCCGUAUUAUCUGCACCGUGGAUUUUCAUACCUGUACAAUUUCGUAGGGUAUUUUACAACCUAAACUUCAAUAAAAUUUGAAUCUCAUACCUAUACUUGAUACAACGGGCAAAAAUCGGAGUCAAUCUAACGGGUGUUAGUCAACUCCGUUACGGUGCUGAGUCAUCGUACACGUGUACGCUGACGUGUAUCAAAACGAUGUCGUUUUCAUACCCGUACUGUCUGCGCUGUGGAUUUUCAUACCUGAACAAUUUUGUAGGGUAUUUUACAACCUAAACUUUAAUAAAAUUUGAAUCUCAUACCCUAUACUUGAUACAACGUGCAAAAAUCGGAGUCAAUCUAACGGGUGUUAGUCAACUCCGUUACGGUGCGUAUCGAAACGACGUCGUUUUGAUAUGUGUUCUCAAAGUUUUAAUUUUUUUUGCAAAACUGGGGACUCGAACCCGCGAGCCGUACUCACAUGGGAAGCACCGAAUACCAACUGAUCCCACAAGAUUCAUCGAGUAUUCCUCAAUCUUUUUCACUUAUCAAUUCGAAAAAGCGUCCGGGAAGCUUGUUUUUAUGGUAUAAGAUUGUUGAGUUCCUAAUUUUUACAAAANNNNNNNNNNNNNNNNNNNNNNNNNNNNNNNNNNNNNNNNNNNNNNNNNNNNNNNNNNNNNNNNNNNNNNNNNNNNNNNNNNNNNNNNNNNNNNNNNNNNUUUUGUAACUCUAGUAAUCGUAAUUUCAUGUCAAUGUAAAACGAUAAAAUAUGACUCGCGGGUUCAAUGAACGUUGUGGGAUCAGUUGGUAUACGGUGCUACUCAUGUGACUACGGCUCGCGGGUACGAGUCUCCAAUUUUGCAAAAAAAUUUAAAACUUUGAGAACACAUAUCAAAACGACGUCGUUUCGAUACGCACCGUAACGGAGUUGACUAACAGCCGUUAGAAUGACUCCGAUUUUUGCACGUUGUAUCAAGUAUAGGGUAUGAGAUUCAAAUUUUAUUAAAGUUUAGGUUGUAAAAUACCCUACAAAAUUGUUCAGGUAUGAAAAUCCACGGCGCAUACAGUACGGGUAUGAAAACGACAUCGUUUUGAUACACGUCAGCGUACACGUGUACAUGACUCAGCACCGUAACGGAGUUGACUAACACCCGUUAGAUUGACUAUGAUUUUUGCCUGUUGUAUCAAGUAUAGGUAUGAGAUUCAAAUUUUAUUGAAGUUUAGGUUGUAAAAUACCCUACGAAAUUGUCCAGGUAUGAAAAUCCACGGUGCAGAUAAUACGGGUAUGAAAAUCCCCUUUUCCCGCUUAGGAUGUGAUUAGUGGAGAUAAGAGAAAGUGAGAGUAAAUUAAAGGAAUAAUUGGAUUGUAUGCCCUAAAUUUUAUUAGAAAUUUGAAAUGUAUACUAUAAUUUUUUAAAAUUUGAGAUGUAUCUUAUUCUUUUUCCAAAAUGACAUUUUCGUCCUUAAUUAAUAACUAAAAAUUCAGAAAACGAAAAUAAAAUAAGGGAGACUCACAAAAAAAUACCUUUUUCAAUACCCCUUUUAAAAAAUGCCCCAUGUGGCUGUCGAUUUUUAAAAAUACCCCUUUUUAUGUACAAAAUGACUAAAUUACCCUUCUUUUAAUAAAAGAUAUCACAAAUAUAUAAGAAAAACAUGAGAAUGUGCACACAUCAAAAUUACAAAUUUGAUUUUGUAAAAACUUGUAAAACCUUUAAAAUACCUUGUAAAAUUUUCCCGUAAAAAUUUUUCCCGCCAAAAUUUGUUUUUUUGCGGGAAAAGUGAUUCCGCAAUUUUUUUGGCGUUAAAUUUUUGGCGGGAAAAAUUUACAAGGUAUUUUAAAGGUUUUUUACAGGGUAUUUAUAAGGUUUUACAAUAUAUUUUAAAAGGUUUUACAACGUAUUUAUAAGGUAUUUAUCAAGAUAUUAUAAGAUUUUACAAGCUAUUUUAUAAGGUUUUACANNNNNNNNNNNNNNNNNNNNNNNNNNNNNNNNNNNNNNNNNNNNNNNNNNNNNNNNNNNNNNNNNNNNNNNNNNNNNNNNNNNNNNNNNNNNNNNNNNNNNNNNNNNNNNNNNNNNNNNNNNNNNNNNNNNNNNNNNNNNNNNNNNNNNNNNNNNNNNNNNNNNNNNNNNNNNNNNNNNNNNNNNNNNNNNNNNNNNNNNNNNNNNNNNNNNNNNNNNNNNNNNNNNNNNNNNNNNNNNNNNNNNNNNNNNNNNNNNNNNNNNNNNNNNNNNNNNNNNNNNNNNNNNNNNNNNNNNNNNNNNNNNNNNNNNNNNNNNNNNNNNNNNNNNNNNNNNCUUAUAAGUACCUUGUAAAUCUUUUUAAAAUACAUUGUAAAACCUUACAAAACACUUGUAAAUACUCUGUAAAACCUUUAAAAUACCUUGUAAAUUUUUCCCGCCAAAAAUUUUCCCGCCAAAAAAAUUGCGGAAUAACUUUUCCCGCAAAAAAAAUUUUUUGGCGGGAAACUUUUUUACGGGAAAAUUUUACAAGGUAUUUAAAAGGUUUUACAAGUUUUUACAAGUGUUUUGGCGGGAAAAUUGCGGGAUCACUUUUCCCGCCAAAAAAUAUUUUGUAUUUUGUGGACCUAAUUUUGUUUCAAAUAAGGGUAAAAUGGUCAUUAAAAAUUAAAAGAAGGCAAACUUAAAAAUGGACUCUCAAAGGGGGCAUUUUUGAAAAGGAGUAUUGAAAAAAGGGCAUUUUUAACAAUUUCUCAAAAAUAAUUAGAGUAGUUAUUUUUUUUACAAAUACUAUUUAAAAUUCACAAGUAAACUGUUCAUAUUAAAAAAUUAUAUACUCAAAAUUUUUUUAUUAUUAUUUUGUGAAAAUUUUAGAUAAUGAUGGAACUAAACUAAUAAUUACGAUAUAAAUUAUGAAUUUAAUUAUAGAAUAAAAUUAUCUAGAUUUUGGGUUGAUGUAGUUAAUAUUUUGGAUCAUGAUUGGUUUAAUAUUAACUAAGAAUUUUAAUUAUAUAUAAUUCAAAAAUAUUUUCUUAGAAAUUUUUAUAGUUAAUAUUUUCGAGAUAUAUAAUAUAUAUGCACUAUAUUUAUUUUAAAUUUAUUACAAAUAUAAAUUAUAUAAGUUAAAUUUAAUUAUCCUAAAAUAAAUAAUUUAAAUAUUAUAACUAAAAAUAUUAUCUCUAUUCAAAAACAAAAAACAAAUCAACAGUUCAAAAGAAUCGAAAAUGUAAAAAAUCAAGAGAAAUUUUUAAAAAUACUCUUUUUGGUGUGCCCCUUUUCAAAAAUGCCCCUUUUAGAUGUCCAUUUUCAAAAAUGCCCCUUUUUAAAUCCGAAAAUUUUAUAAAGUUUUAUUAGGUUUAUAAGGUACUUAUGGAUUGUAACUACUACUUGAAGAAUCGAUCCAAGUAUUUAUAAGGUUUUAUAAGGUGUUUUUAAAGGUUUUACAAGUUAUUUUAAAGGAUUUUUAAGGUUUUUCAAAGGUUUUACAAGAUAUUUUAAGGGUUUUUAAAGGUAUUUUAAAUGCAUUUAUAAGGUAUUUAUAAAGUAUUUAUAAGAUUUUAGAUACGUAGAAAUGUAGUUUGUGUAUGUUUUAAUAAUAUUACAUACAUAUUUGGGUAAAUUUUAUAUUUUUAAGAGCAUUUUUUGUAAGGUUUUAAAAAAGGGGUAUUUUUGAAAAGUGGCAUUUUUGCAAAAGCCCCAAAAAUCAAUUAACCAAAAUACAAGUCAGUUGUUUUAAUAUAAGUCUAUAGAGAAUAAAAUUAAUUCGACAAAAAUAAAAUAUAAGUCGACAGUUCAACAAAUCAACCUUAUCAAUAAAUCAAUGUAAAAUUAAAUAAGUCAAUAGUUUAAAAUCGACUAAAUUUAUUUUCUAUCGACGUAUUUUAAAACAGUCGACUGAUAUUUUGGUUGAUUGAUAUUGUAAAUAAAUAAAAUAUAAGUCGACAGUUUAAAAAAUUGAUCUUAUUAGUAAGUCAACAUAGAAUAAAUUAAAUCUACCAUGAAUAAACAUGUCGACAGCAAAAAUUAUAAAUCAAUGAACAAAAUAAAUAAGUUAAUAGUUCAAAAAAUCGAGUAUUUUGUAAAUCAACUAGUUAAAAUAUAAGUCGAGUGUUGUAAAAUAAGUCGACAGAAAAAAAAAUUAAGUCAACAAAAGUGAAAAAUAAGUCGAAAGAUAAAAAAAUCGACUUUAUCAAUAAAUCGAUUUAGAAUGAAGAAAUUUACCAAAAAAUAAUAAUUUAUUUAUUAUAAGUUAUAUAAUUUUUAAUUAUAAAUUUUAAGUAAGUUACAAAUUGUACUAAUAUUAUCAACAAUAAUAUUUUUUAUUUUUUAUCUAUUCAAUAUUUUAGAUAGUAUAUGAUUACUCCAAACAUUGUAAAUAAGUUUUUAAUUUUUACUAUUAAUUAAUAAAAACAAAUUUUAGUUAUUUUAAAUUUUUUAUAUUAUUUGUAAUUUAUUAAUUUAAAUACUACUUAAAUUAAUAAAAGGGUAUUAUGGUAAAGUUUGAAUAUAAAAAGAGUACUAUUCAAAUUACCAUAUCACUUAGUUUAGUUUUCAAAUUUCUUAUAUAAUUUAGUAUAUUUAUAAAAAUCUCCCUUAAUUAAAUUUAAAAAAGUAAAGGCAAGAAAAACUGAAUUAUAGUGUAAUAAUUUUACUCUACAUUUUUUAGAAGACAACUUUACUCUGUUUUUUCUUCUUUUUACCUGAAACCAGUUGAAUAAAUCAUUUUUAAAAGUUUUUAAUUUGUUUGGUGAAAAAGUAAAGGAAUUCAAAGUAAAUAUUUUUUCACCUGUUAUUUUUACUUUACCAAUCACACCCUUUAGUUUCAAAUGGUAGAGGAAAGAAAUGGAGAAAAAUAUAUAUUUUAAUCUUAAUUUUGACAGUAAAGUAAAAUAUAAUUUGAAUACACUUAACUCAUUCAAAGUUAGUUAGAGAAAGAAAAAAACAAUAAAAAAUAAUAUCCACUAUAUAUAUAGUAUUUUUUAAAAAUGAAAUCUCCAAAAUUAUAAAUUUAUUAGUUUGACUUUUAUGGAUUUAACAUUUGUCUUAUUUAUUUAUUUUUUUGUCAUCGUAAAUCAAUACAAUAAUAACACUAAGUUUCUCUCCUAGGUUGACACAUCAGCUUUUUCAGUUGUUUUGAGAGUGACACCUAAUUAAAAUCAACCUCCAAUAGAAACAUUUGGAUUAAUACAUGUCAGAUUUCUGGGCCAAUAAUAAUUCUUCUAUGUUCCACGUCAUUUUUCUAAAGCUUAUCUCACUAUAUUUGGGCUUAUUGUUUGAGAAGAAGGCUUAUUAUUAUUUAGAAGUGGGCUUACUAUUGAUUGACUCAAACAAAUUGUCCUCUUUCCAGCAUCUUUUUUUUUUGUCGAUCUCUAAAUUUUCUUGAAUUUGGUACAGUUCGUCUAAGUCCAUAAGUUUCCGAAAAUUCUUCAAGAGUUUUAGUUUUGGUAAGUUUGUUUUUGAUGUCAAUUAGUCGAGAGUUUUAGUUUGGUGAAUUAAAGCUUUAAUUUUUCUCCACUUUUGCAGUUUAUGAACCUCUAUACAUAAGGAAAACAAGGAGCAAUCAAUCCUCCUCUACGCAUGCCAUAAUUGUUAAAAGAGCCUCUGUAAGAACAUAUUCUUUUGUUCCAAUAGGUUAGUAUAAAAGAUUAAUAACAAGUUUUCAUUUCAAUGAAUCUAAUCUGUUAAUAUACAGGAUACAAAUAAUCCAAGAAGGGGAAUUUAAAGGAUGAAGAUACUUAAAAGUGUUGUUGGGAUGUUAAGAAGAUUCUAGAUUCAUUAUCUUCUCCUUUUUGUGAAUUCUGUUUAAAGUUGUUGUUUCUCUCUAUGUAGAAACAAGCUUAGACGUGAAUCCUAAGAACAAAAACGCUGUAGGUAUUAUACUAAAUUAAAUGUAAAAUAUACAUAAUUUCUCCCUUUGUUCUCACUGUUUCAUCUUUUUUUUUGGGUCAAAGGAUAACGCAAUGGAGUAUUCCAAGUCUCCCUUCAAAUGCUAAGAACGUAGCUAUGGAACAAGUUACAAACCGUAAAUAUUUUCUUUGAACAUUCUAAUUUUAAGUCAUGAACCAAGUUAUAUUGACAUAUUUGUGAAUUGUUUAGUCGUUUUAUUUUAAAAGCAAACGAACAAAAUGGCUUAUUAUUAUUCAGCUGUCAAUAAAAUGUUGGGCUUAUUAUAUUUCUUCGACAUAUGAAUACGACUAUGCUUUUUGUUGUUGUGAUUUUGGGUUUUAUGUUUUCAGAGAAGGAAAGACAAUUCAUACUGAGGUCUGUAACGAGGAGGCGAAGCUUCGACAAGAAAUUGAUCUCGAAUACCAAAACACAGCUUGUAAGAAUUUGAGAGCUAAAUCAUCUAGGACGAGUUAGCUCGCCGCAUCUAUAAAUAGAGUUUAUCAAGAACUUGGGUAUUCUUCUUUUGAGAAAGAUGAGUUAAUCAUUGACGAGAGUGACACAGAGGACAAAAUUAGUUCUGAUACAUUUCGAAAAAUUAAGAGCAAGCAAGAGACUAUUGGUCUUGGCAGGUUAGAAUCAAAUGACUACAUUGCCGCAGACACGGUAAGUAAUAUUCUUGAACCAUCUAAAAAAUGAGACAUCAUUACUGCAUAUCAUAGUCGACAAGCUUGCCACAUCAUCUGUAGUCUAAAGAAAGAAACUUGUGUGGAUCACUUUUAAAUUAGAUGAAAUUCAGUUGUCAGUUAUUAUCAAUUGGAUAGUUAUGUGUUGACUUUAGAUUCUGUUAGUUCUCAUUGACAUUUUCUCUAUUUUACAUGUUAGGCCAAGGAGGUCAUAUUCAGACCAAAAAAUGAAAAAGCAGUUAUUAGUUAGAUUGUUCAAUGCCUCAAAGAAAGAAUUGAAACAAUAAUCAAGCUUCAAGUAGGAACCAUAAUUUUGGGAACCAAAAGAAAAAGCAAAGUUCAGCCCCGAAGUAUCCCGGUACAACGAAAAACGUAAAUCAUCCUCGAAGAACGAAGCUUCUUUACAUGAGCUGAGACCAAAACAUAUAGAAGAAACCAUUUCCAUGAACUCCAACAGACAUAAGUCUUCUAUAGACAAAGAAUCAUAUGACAAGGAAAAUGCUCACGGACAAAGCAGUGAAACUGGAUUUGUGACGAUGAAGAAGGCAAGAUUCAGAGAAGCAAGAGACCAACGUUCCAUGGCGAAACCAAAUGUGGGAGUUCUGGUGGAGUGCUCGAGAAGGAAAUAGUUAAUCUUAUACUAUGGUUUUUAUGAAACAAAGUUAUAAAAGUCAUAUUGAUAUAUAAAUUCAGUUAAUAUUUGGUGCUUUAGCUACAUUUCGCUUAACAAACUUAAAUUUAUACAAUUUGAUUUGAUUAUUAUAAAUUUAUAUUUCUACUAAAAAAGUAUAAUCCAAAAAAUAUCCCGCAGCGUAGCGCGGGUUUCGUCCUAGUUUCAUUAAAAACACAUGUCCUUUUUAUAAAAAGCUUUUAAGGAGAUCUCAAACAAUUAACGUGUGGUUGAUAGAAAAAUAAUUAUGUGACCUCCUAGUACUAUUUUACCCUUUUAAACGGAAAAGGAAAAAGCUAAGUAAAAUUUAUAGAUUUUUUUGAUGCAUGUCCAAUUGAAUUUUAAAAUAUUUAAUUAAAUUGUAAUUGGUUCUAAAUUUUCCAUAAGUUUGAAGUAAAUGGUUGAAAAUAAACAUGGUAUGGUCCAAAGGGACAUGUAUGAUUUCUACCGCAAGCAUCAAAUAUAUUGGUUUCAACGAAGAGAUAAGAUCCAGAAUUCAUCGAAAAAAAUAUGGUAUAUAUGGUCUCCAUAUAUUCACCAAAUUGACAAUUUUACGGUUAAAUGACAACAAUUUUAUUCACUUAGUUACAAAGUGACUCUUUGACACGGUUCAACUACCAUUGAACCUGAAUCAAUACAACAUAAAUAUGUUCCAUUGAACAAAACUCUCCUCAAUAUUUCUGAAUCCCUAACCAUUGUUACUCACUCAUAAAACUACUAAACAUUUAAGCUUCUGACCUCGGGCUCCUCCGCGUCUGCGGCUCCAACGCUACAUUUCAUCGAGUCAAACGUUAAAUCAAGGAAGUACAACGAACAAACAAGAACACAACAAGUGAUGAACAUGGGGAUGGGACCGAAGAUCCAAAGGAACAAAGGCGAUGAGAAGUAGAAUGCUCUUAGUCCUAACGACCAGAAGUAACUCCCACGGUUAACCGUUGCAGCCACAUAAUCUUGGUUUAUCAUAAGACUACCGUUACCACGACCACCUGAAGAAACAGCCAUCAGCUGUUUAAAGGGGACAUUGAUGAGGAUGCUUGCAUGGCUGUAAUAACGAAUUGAUUGCACAUUGAGGAGAAACGCGACUAGGAAACACACGAGGAUUGCGAAGAACUUGAGCGAGAAGGCUCGAUCACUUUUGUCACCAAACACAAACCAGACAGAUCGCUCUCCUGUAGCGCUUGUCAUUAGUACCGCGAUUAGUGAACACAACAUUAUUGCGGUUGAUGCCAAUAGAGUUGACGCCAUUAUGUUGUUCCUUAGCGUUUGAACCGCUAAAACGCCAUUUUUUGAUGAGUCCUGUAAACAAUGGUUGUAAACAGAUACAUAAGCUAGUUGUUAUCUAUUAGUACAAGAAAUCUGAAUCAACAAAAAAGGCAAAAAAUUGGUGGAGAAAAUAAUAUAGUUAUUAACAUUUUUUCAAAAAAAGUUUCCCAGAAAUGCAAAGCAUCUUUUGAGUGUUAUUUAGCUUUCACACUCGUGGACUCAUUUAUUAAGGAAAUUUCCAGAAUCGGGCAUUUACGUAAAGAACUUUAACAUAAUUAUGUUCAUAUAUGAGAAAAGAAAAGAUCUCAGCAAAAAAAGAAAGAAAAACAACUUGAUACUGUUUCAACUUUCAAUAUAUCAAUUUUUGAGGUGCAUACAUGAUGAUUAUACUUAUACUCUUUUUUUUCUUUUUUUUUUUUUGUUAAAGACUUAUACUCAUAUUUAUGUAAAACAUAUACUUUAUAUAAAUAAAUAUAUAUGCACAUAUAGUCAUAAUAUAGUGACAUAAAAUCUCAACCUCACAUCCUCCAACGCAGAAGGAACUAGCUAGUAACCGUUGACAAAAUUUUCUUUCCCAGGAAAAUCUCUACACAUGCAUACACUUAUCAUUUAUCACAUCUUAUUCAAUUCACUCAUAUUCAAUACACUUAUCAAUUAACACUAUAUGCAAUUUAUAUAAAACACAUACACAUCCACAUAUGAUAUGCACAAGAUUCUCCUUAGUUAUCUCCAACAACCCUCAAAAUAUAAAGCCAAAUCAGCUAAAAUAAAUUUGCAUUUUCCAGGGAAAAAAUGAUCAUCAACUCAUGCAUAAACAUACAGAGAGAUCUACACAUUUGACCCUCCCAAAAAAAAUCUACAUAUAAAUAUAAAUUAAGAACCAAAAGCAAACAAAUAUGAUAUAUAAAAAGAAAAUAAAAAGAAAGAGAAAAAGAAAAAGACCUCCAUCAUGGCUUGGACCCAAAGGCGGCGAUUGAAGGCGUUGAGGCCAACGACAGUCGAAGAAGGACGGUGGAUGAUACGGUAGAGAAGCCAAAGAUGAUAAAACACCAUCAAACCAAGCCCUAAAGGCACAAGUGUGUAAUCUAAAUACUCACGCUUCAUCAUCUUAGAUCAAAGAUUUGAUAAAAAAAAAAAAAAUUUGAAGGAGAUUGAGAGAUAUCAAAGUGAAGCACGGGUCUUACGUGGACCUUCCCGUAUCUAAUGCUAUCUCUUUCUCUCAAUUUUUGUUUUGAGCUUCCCGGAUUCUUAGGCGUUUCCUCUCACUCUAUACCUCUAUUUAUAGAUUUGAGUCUUUAUAUGUGUUAAUUAAAUACAGUAUGUAUACAAAUCCUAGCUGUUAAGUUUGGACUAACCGUUGCCAUUUGUCAUUCGGAUUUACCAAUGUUUUUGUUACCAAACAUAUAAAAUUAUUGUAAUUGAUUAAUUAACUGAAAUUGUAUUUGACAUCUAGUUGAAAUUUCGAAAAUCUUUCAUCAUUUUAAGUUUUAACCACCCUUUACUAUUGGAUGCAAAAAUCUAGUGUUGCACUUUACAAAUACUCCAAUUGCUAGGCCUAGAACCACUAAUACUAAAAGUUCAGUUGCAAUUCACGGGAAUUCCGAAACACUUAUAAAUUAUAAUGACUAGAAAACUAUAAAUUUUUUUAUUUUACAAAUCAAAAAGAAAUAGUCAGAAUUUGUUAAUAUGGUUGUCUUGGAUCUUCCAUAUUUAACCUUAUAACCAAUAAAUACAGGUAUUCUUAAACAUACCAUUGAUUUUGUUUUAAUUCAAAAUUACCAGAAAAUAUAAUUAAAAAACAUCUUCAAAGCUUUUAUUGAUAAUUCCUAAAUCAAUUGUACGAAUUCGUUGAAAAACAAAUAUUAAAGUAUUUAAAAUAUGAAUUUUAUUGAUUUACUCUAUAUUAUUUAAAAUAUAAAUGUAAACAAUAUUAAAAUAAUAAUUAGUUUCGUAUCCACGACCUUAUUAUUUAUUUAUGCAGACCAUUUUUAAAUCUAAAAGUCCAUCUCUAUACUAUUAAAAGAGAAGUACAAAUGAAAAUGGGUCGGGUUAAAAUCAGAAAAUUGACCCAAUUUCUGAAAUCGGAUCUUUGAAAUUUUUUUGGAAUAUAAAUUCGAAUUAAUAAUGAAAAAUAAAAAUAAAAUCAAAUAUUUAUGGAAAUCAAAUAAAAUCUGAUUAUACUUAUGGUAACUAAAAAUAAAAGCAUAUUCCGAACAAUAUUAUACAUUAAUUACGUAUAAUAAAUUUGUUCAUAUAUUUUUGGGACUAAUUCCAUAACAAUCAACGUUUUUGUCAUUAAUUUUGCUCAUUUUAGCCAAUUAUCAUUAAUUGAAAGAUAUAUGAAAUACAAACCCGUCCCUCGAAUGUAUGCGGAUUUGCGGGAUUGUCCAUGGAUUUUGUUUAAAUAAUUUUAAAGUAACCAAAAUUUAAAAUACUACUAAAAUAAAUAAAUAAAUAAAAAUACUAUUAAAAGUUUGUUUAAAUUACCACAUGUUGAAUAAAUUAUAAUUUUAUCAAUAAAUACUAAUAUGCGGGCUGAUCCGCCAACCCGCGGAUGAAAACCGAUUAAACCUAUGACCCACUUCGAAUUAAUCCAUGUGGCCCGCUUAUUUGCGGGUUUAAUAUAUUUUCUCAAUCUGCCCCAUAGUGAGAUGAUGUGGGCUCGACCCGCGGUUUUUGACCUAUUUUGACUGCUUUAAUUCCCAUGAAUCGUCUAAUUUUAGAAUUUUAAAACACCAAAUUCUAUUUUGUAAAUCAUAAUUAAUACGAUGGGUAUAUUUAUAAACAAUUUUACAUUUUCUCUACAAUUCGUUAUUGUGAAUAUUUAUAAGUAUACUACACGAUUCAUUCUACUAAAAAACAAACACAAUAUUAAACGCAACGUAUGUAAACCAAUAUUCUCCCGCGGUGGACCGCGGGUCCGAUCCUAGUUGGUGAACAAAACAAAAAAGCAUGCAAAGAUGUGUUUAAUUUUUUUGUCAACAACUCACACUCCAAAAGUUUUUUCUUUCAACAACUCACAACUCAAAGCAUGCGAAAGUUUUCUUUAACUAAAAAAGUUGCAAAAGAUAUCUAUUAUUACUAUGACAUAAUGAAAUAAUAAUUUUAAAUUUUAAACUACAGACCUUCAUUUGCAAAAGAUAUCCCUUAUAUAUUAAUAGAGAAGCACUUUAUAAAAUAAACCUUAUUUUGACGUGUUAUUAACUAAACUGCCAUGCUGACAUGUCGCUCUCAGAGUAAAUUUUCACCCAUUUAAAUUUUAACCCAAAUUUUACUAGACUAUUUACAGAUUUUGCCAUUAGUCUUAAUACAUAUAUAUAUCAUACAAAUAACAAAAAAACGAAAUUAUAAUUAAAAGCAAAUAAUUAGGCAACUGAUAUCAUAUUUAUAUUUAACAACAAAUCACGGGAUCUUUGUUUAUUUAUAUUAAUAAUCUAUUUUCAAUAAUUAAAAAGGAAAAAAAUUGUGUUUAUCUUAUAUUAAUAAAUUUUUAUAUUUAUAUUUUUCUUUAUAUACAUUUAUAUAAAUCUUCUCUAGCCGAUGGGUAAAAAAUCUUUUUAUUUAUAUAUAUAUAUAUAUAUAUAUAUAUAUUUAUGCUUAUAUUUAAAUGAUAAAAGAUAUACAUUUUGUUCAAGAAUCUCGAAUUCAAAACUACAAAAUCUCUAAAUCUUUCAUAAAAUUUUAUAUCUAUUGUACUUAAAUAAAUAAGAUAAUCUCUUUUCUAUACAUGUUACGGAUACUUAAAAUCCGAUUUUUUUGGAGUAGUUCUAACUUUUCGAAGAAAAACAUUAUAACCACAUUUAUAUAUAAACCAAAAUAUGGCCACAUUAUAACCUCGUUUUUUGGUCAAACGGUCACAUUAUAACUAUUUCGUAAAUAAUUCAUUCAUAAUAUAAGAAUCUUAUAUUUGGAACACUACAAAAUCUUAACUCGGAAACUAUCAAAUAUCAUCUUUGCUAAAUUUUUAGAUUUCUUAUACUUAAAUAAUAAUAAAAAAUCUCGAAAUCUUUAAAACAUACGGAAAGACAUAUUGCCAUAAAUGGUAAUAUUUCGUCAAUAAUUUCUUUAUCACGUUGAAGCUUUAUUUAAGGUUCAAAUAUUCCACGGGUAAAACGUAUUCUUAUAUAAAUAGUCCCAAGUUUGAAUAAAACAAAAAAAAAUUAUUACAUGUUACGUUUUACACAAACAGAUCUUGGAUCCCGGAUAAUAAUUUUAAUCAUAAUAAUUUUACUUAAAUCACUUCAUCCCGCACAUAGUGCGGGUUGUUAUCUAGUAUUUCUUAUAAUAACAACAUACUAUUUAUCGUGAUUUUUAAAAAAUUAAUUUAUAAACCAUUGAUCUACCAUAAUGCAAAUUUAAUUGAUAAUAGUGUGUAUAAUUUAGAAUAGAUUUAAAAAUGUAAAAUUUAAAAUAGCUGAUUUUGGACCGUUAAAAAAAUGAAUGUAGCUGUAAAUUGAAAAAGACCAAAAAGGGGAAAAAUGUGAGGAAAGUGGAAAACUUUUAAGAACAUGCACGGCCCACUAGAGGCCCUACUUUCUAUGACGUCUGUCGUCUAUCUUCAUUUCACAGCUGAAUUGGCAUCGGAAUAUUCCUCGAGGGUUCCCCACCAUAACAAUGUUGCCAUUUUUCUUAUUAUUAUUAGAAGUUUAGAACAACAAUAAACUCACUUAUAUAAAUUUUCUAAAAAGACAGAAAAUUAUGGUGAUCAAAAGUUGUCACGGCCAUUAAGAAAAUGUAAGAUUCUGAAAAUCCCACAACUACAAGCAUCAAUGCAUCAUGGUCCUAGAUUUCAAUGCAUGUAGAGUGCUACUGUGCUAGUAAGUGGUUAACACUUCAAGUUCAAAUUUGUAAUGGAAAGUGACGAAAUUAAGUUCUUUGUAAGUAUCCUCCUCCCAAACUAAAUUUCAUUUUAUGAUAGACAAACACUCAAUUUGUCUUGUAUUGUACCAAUCCUAUUCAUUAGUGUCCAAUUUAAUUUUUUUUGGCAUUUUUGUCCUUUACCAUCUUAAGAAAACUGUUUGUUCUUUUUUUUUUUUUUUUUUUUUUUUUUUGUCACGGGAACUGUUUGUUCUUCUAAAACACAAAAGUUCUGGGCUUUUAGCAAUUACUAUAAUAUAUAACCCGGACGUUAAAAGAAGAAAAAACAAAUUUUUCUUUGACUUGGAGGAAAUUUUCUUUUAAUAACUUAUUUGUGUACUUUUUUUUGUUAAAUUUUCUUAUUUGUGUACGUUGUGGUACCACUUGGUAGAAAGUAGAGUUGUUUAUGUGUCACUUGCAUGUUCAUCAAGUUUCCACAACUACUACCACCAGGUCCUAAGAGUAGUCCUAUGGGAGGCUUGGGGAGCUAGCUAAGAAAACAAUGCUUAGUUAGAUUAGCAUUUAAUUGGGAGCGUGUGACAUGUUACCGUUAACAUUACCAUUAAUAAAGACUUUCGUUGACUUGUUAUGAAAAAGAAAUUUAAUCAGUCUUGUGUUAGUUUCAACUAUUAUCGGAUCUGUCUUGAAGUUAGCCUACGUACGUACCUCUCUUCACGUGGGUUUAUCUAUUACGUUUACACGUGGUUUAUACAUACAUGAGUGUCUGUGUAGGUACAGUACUACUAUAAGUAAUAACCACUAAAAAUGUUUACAUAUAAAUUCAUUUAUAGUAUUACCUAUCAAAACGAUUUUAGAAAUUUAGGUUACCUAUCAAAACGAUUUUAGAAAUUUCUUUCUUAAAAAUUAUCCACAGGUUAAGUCUUUUAAUUUACUGUAUUGAUAUUUAUAAAUUCUGUCAAUUUUAAGGAUUAGCUGACAAUUUUGACAUCAGUUGACCUCCCGAUUCAAGGUCCAAUUUUUGUAGAAUUGCAAGUGGGCUUUAUUAAAGCCCAAAUCAGAUAAACAUUGACCAUAAUAAAGUCAAAACUUUGUUAUACGUUAAACAAGUGGAAAAGGAUGUGAAGGAGCAAAGAAGACGGGGGUUAGGUAGGCCAAAGUCAUUGCACUCUUCUUACCGUUUCUCCUUUUCUUUCGUUUUCAUAUUUUUUUCUAUGAAUUAAUUAAUUAUUAUUAAUUUUACGGCAUCACUUAUUUUUUCUAUUAGUAUUAAUUUCGUUUUCAAUUUCAGCGAAAAAAUUACCGUUUAUCCACUUCAUUUAACAUGGUUAUCUCAUUAUCAUAUUUACUAUUUUAACCAAUAAAAUAGCUUCAAAUUAUAAAUAUCGCAUAGAGUCAAAUAGGUAAUUAUAAAAAGAGAGAAAAUAAAAUAGGUGAAAUUUGGGUGGGGAUUUUUUGUUCCGCGCGGGUUUGGUUUAAAAUAUUACCAUUGAAUAACUGACACGUGAUAAAUAAUCUCUUUCUCUCGAUAAGACAAAACAAAAAACGAAAUUAGUAGACGAAUUAAAACUUUAAUUAAGUACAUACAUGUCCUCAAAAAUGAAUAAACAAUUAAUAUAAAAUGGAAAAAAAUCACUGGUGGGACCCGUUUAAUGCGACCGUUAAUUAACGGAGUUAAGAUCAUAUUAUCCGUUGGAAGACAGUGUUAGUUCUUCUCUCUAAUCUAUAAAUAUCUUCACCAUCUUCUUCUUCCCUCACUUUGUUCUUCUUCUUCCUCUUUGCUCUCUCUCUCUCUCUCGAGUCAAAAUUAGGGUUUCGUUGUAUCCAGGUAUGUAUCUCUCUCGCUCUCUCUUAUCUCUCUUCUCUGUGUAAUUUGCUUCUGAAAAUUUCUAAAUUCGUGGAGAAUCUUCUUCAUCUUACCAUCGGAUCUGGUAGCUAUCUGUUGUAGCUUGCACUUUGAUUUCACGUUCGAAUUUUGGAUAAUCGUGGAAUCUGUAGUCUAUAGCUUAAUUGCGUUCAAGUAGAUUCGAGAUUUGAUGUGAUUUUGAAGAAUUGAUUAGCUAAAAUGUGGAGUGAUCUACGUUGAUAUUGAUGGUUGAUUCUUCGGCUUCCUUCGGUUUCUGCAGAGUAUAUAAAGGUUGUUGUGGAGCUUUUUUCAGAUUCAAGGAAUAAGAUGGAGGUAUUUGGAAAAUCUCCCAUGGUUACAUCUGCCAAUGUUAUUUACUUGUCUGCAAUUCUGGGUCGCGAUUGCGAUGGACCCAAUCAGUGUCACAAAUGUGAUUGGAAAUGUGAGAAUGAAAUUGUUUGUGGGAAUAUGUAUCGCUGCAAACUAACUGGGCUGACUCAUGUCUGCGACAAGAAUUGUAACCAGCGGAUUCUCUAUGAUAACCAUAGCUCUUUGUGCCGUGCCAGCGGGAGGAUUUUCCCUCUCUCAUCGGUUGAGGAGCAGGCGGUUAAAGGGGUUCGGAGGAAGCUUGACGCUGCUGAGAGUCAUCCUUCUGAGAGCUGUUCGUUUAAGCGUCGUCGUCGUGAUGCUCAGUUCCAUGCUUCUCCUUUCGAGAGGUCUUUUACUGCUGUGAGCCCCAUCUGCAGCCCAGCUGGAGACGGAAUGGAGUUGAUUUAGAUCCAUGUUGAUCUCCUCAAAUCCUGAGACUGAGAGGCUUCUUUAUCUUACGUAGAAUAACUUCCCUUUCUCUUUCUUUUGGAGAACUAUGGAUAAGAGACAUUGUGCUAUUGCUCUUGCAGGGAGGUCUAGGCAUAUCCUCCCUGCCUUAAAAAGAGCUUUUAUCUUAGUAUUGUUGAACUUUAUGUAGUACUUAUGUAGGAGAGACUUUAUAAUUCUAAUGCUUUAUUCUGGAUCUUACUGCUGUUGCAUUUAGGUUCUUGAUGUUUGAUGUCUCUUCUUGUGCACCUUUAGUUUUUUCUUGUGAUUGGACACGAUAUUUAGGCAGGCUUUUAUUCAGACUUGUUUUGGCUACCUUUACGCAGAGCCUGACACACCAUGGCUGAUUUCUGUAAAUGUGGUGCUACCGCUACAGGGUUUUUACACAUUGCUAACCAAUUCCUGAAGAUAUUUUCUGGUUUGUUAUCUUGUAGGAAAUUCCCCUUAAUCCUUUCUGAUCGAAACCUAAUUCUAACAAAUCAUGUGUUCUUUCCAACUUUCCUUUCCUUGAUCGAUGAGUAUUUGGGUCUGAAAAUGUUUUCUGUUUGUGCAGGUUUCAAAUGUUGCAAUUCAGGAGAGUUUAAUUGUGCUUCUUUUAUGUACACUGAUUUGCUUGUUUGAAUUUUCUUUAUCAAAGGAGUAAAUCUAACUGAUGAAAGUUUAAACCUUACUUUGCAGGUCCUCUUGUGUUUGUGCUCAGCAGGAAACAACAAGCUUGGUUUAAAUUCAUUGGCACCAUAAGCUGUUACUCCUUAACUGUGAGAAGGAAGACGGCAUUAAAUAGGUAUGAUGAACUACCUAGUGAGGAUGUGGCCGGCCAACUGUGUUCAAAACUAUCAGCUAAACAUGGUAAUUAUGUGAUAUGAUGUUUAAAGAAUUGUUACCGUUACCUUUCGUUUUCCAUUUACAUGUUGGCUCUGCUUUUGUACCAGUACCUGCCUUACUUUCAUGUUUCUUAUCAUCUGCCAUGUAACUUUGUCGUGGCUAUAUCUGAGGUUCUGAUAUUUGUCCAAUAUCUAUGACCAGGUACAAUCUCUUUAGACUGUUAAGUUGCUGAUGAAGAUAGCUUGUAUGUAAUAUCUGAGGCCCGGAUGGAAUCUGCGCUCUUAUGUUGCCCCCAUGAGUCCCACCUAAAUCGCAGUCUUGGUAAGUCAUAGCGUACUUACACCCUUCUCGUUCCUAACUGUUUGUUGUAGUCCUAGGCUGCAGCCUUACAAAAUACCCUACUCUGAAGUAUAUGUACAAUGAUGAUCUGAAUUAACUCAAACAUAAUAAAAAACUAAGUAAUCGUCAUAUAGAAUAUACUUUCUAGGUUUGCAGCAACUUGAAGAUAGAAACAUAGAGAGCUUUGUAAAAAUCCUCAAUGGUUUGUUUAAUUGCUUCAAGUUGUUUUUUUCUUUUCAACGUGGAUUUUAAUACAAUAGUUUAGCUGACAGAAAGGUGGAUGUCUAGGUAUUCGAUGGUUUCCUGGGAUCGUGAAAGAUUCUCUUCUGAAGAAGUUGGCAAAGUAUCAAAUAUUGACUCAGCCGCUACGAUAAGAUAACGGUACGGGAAUAUUUCUCCCUAAUAGCUAGUGAUAAUAAUUACUUAAUUUAGUAACAAUCACUAUUUUUUUCCUUUUUUUUGUUGAUUUUUUCCACUAUUCAUUAUUGAAUUUCGUAUUAAAAAUAUAAAUUGAGAAAUAUAAAUUUGAUUGCUAGGAUUUUUUUUUAAAUAAAUUUUUUUAUCAUUUAUACCUUUACCAAAGAUAAUAUUUGGUUAUUCAACUUUUCAUAACUAUAUCAACUCCAUUGUCAAGGAACCUGGAUCUGAAAUAAGCUUUUACUUCAAUUUUGUUUGAAAAGGAAUUAGUGUAGAUUCUCUUACAUGAUACAUCGUUUCAUUAGUUCUAUGAUCAUAUAAUAAUACGGAUUGAAAGAGGUUGGGGAAGUAAGGCAAAGAAUUGCCUUGUCGGAGAGACCAGUUUCCUAAGAGUAAUGCUAAACCCUUAUUCAUUGUCUUGCGGCUUGAAGCUAUCUAAAGCAACUUCACGGCUUCAACAUUUUAUUUGGUAUAAACCCUUGUCCAGGGACCUCCCAGUCAAAUUCAUAUUUCUGAAAUCUUAAAACGUUUUUACCAUAAUGGGAAGAUCACCAAUGGUUCCCAUGGCUGUUCUUGUUUAUGUUUCUCUACUGUUCUCUGUUUCUUAUUCCUCAACGUUCGUCAUCACAAAUAACUGUCCUUUUACUAUAUGGCCCGGAACUCUUGCAGGCUCUGGCACCCAGCCAUUACCCACCACAGGGUUCAGGCUUGAUGUGGGACAGUCUGUUAGGAUUCCCUCGGCUCUAGGCUGGUCAGGUCGUAUAUGGGCAAGGACAGGCUGCAACUUUGAUGCCACCGGCGCGGGAAAAUGUAUGACUGGAGACUGUGGCGGGAAGCUUGAGUGUGCCGGUAAUGGCGCUGCUCCGCCAACAUCACUUUUCGAGAUCACACUCGGUCAUGGUGCUGAUGACAAAGAUUUCUACGAUGUGAGUCUCGUUGAUGGGUAUAACCUUCCCAUAGUUGCUCUUCCGACCGGUGGUGGACUGAUUGGAGCUUGUAAUGCUACAGGAUGUGUUGCUGAUAUCAACAUAAGCUGUCCAAAGGAGCUUCAAGUGGUAGGAGAGGAAGAGGCAGAGAGAGGAGUUGUUGCAUGCAAGAGUGCUUGUGAGGCCUUUGGGUUGGACCAGUACUGUUGCAGCGGUCAGUUUGCUAACCCGACCACAUGCCGACCGUCUUUUUACUCUUCCAUUUUCAAGAGAGCUUGUCCCAGAGCUUAUAGCUAUGCAUUUGAUGAUGGAACCAGUACUUUCACUUGCAAGGCUUCUGAAUAUGCCAUUAUCUUCUGCCCUGGCAGGUAUUAUAUCAUAUGCCUUUUCACUUUUGAGUUUGUUACAAUGCUGUCUGCAACUUUUUAUAAAAGUUUGCAGAUUCUGAUUGAUUUUAUCCCCGUAACAAUCCAGGGUAAAAAGACCGGACAGUCAGAGCUCGGAUCCUCCCAGUCCACCUCAGAAUCAGUUCGGGCAACCUAUGGCUCCUCCACCUCAGAAUCAGUACGGUCAGCCUAUGGCUCCACCGACUCAAAAUCCGUAUGGUCAACCUAUGGCUCCUCCCACUCAGAAUCAAUACAAUCAACCUAUGGCUCCACCGACUCAGAAUCAGUACGGUCCACCUAUGGCUCCUCUCACUCAGAACCCACCUGGACCAAACGGGGAAUCAAUGGCUCCCCCACCUCAGAAUCAAAACGAGAAUGGGCACUUCAUGCCUCCUCCCACUGUGAACCAAGUUCCAAACGACCAGUAUAUGAAUCCCCCAAUUCAGGAUCAGAGUCAAUCCUCAUCCAAUAUUCUUCGACCUUACCCUGUCUUCUUGCUUCUUGGCUUCAGUCUAACUGCUUUGAGACAAUCAGGCACGACAUGAAUCAUCACCAUUCUUCCUUUUUAUCGAGAAUUGAUACAUAACCGUGUGGAGGAAUCAGACAGACCAUGUUUAAUGUCUUCUCAGAGAUUUUAUACUCCAUUCAUCAAAGUCCUUAGAUUUACCUUGAAUUGUUUGAAUUGAUAUGUAAAAACUCUAUUUCAUGUGUAUAUAAUGUUGUCUCAACUGAAUAAAUGAAAUGAUACGUUUAAAAAGGAGUGGGAGAAAUCAAAAUCACAACUCAUUUCUUGGAUUUUGGCUUCUUCGGGGCAGAAUUUCUAGCCUUCUUUGCUGGUGGCUGCUUCUCUUUAGAUGGUCUUCCUCUCUUUUUUCCUAUAACCUGCGAAGAUUCCACAUGUAACAAAUAUUCUUUUACUGUAAGGGAUUUAUGUCGAUUUCAUAGAAGGAAAUUCUAAGUUUUUGUCAUCGUACAGUUUCGCCUUUUGCUUUGGCUUUGGGUUUGGCUUUUGUGUUGGUUUCUUCCUCUGUGCCUCCACUUUGAUCAGCUGGCUUUGAAGCAGUCUUGGCGUUUUUGUUAGUUUCAUCAUCUGAUUCGAAUGAAAAUCCCUCCAGAGUGCCUAAAUGGGUUAAUUGUAUUAGCCGGAGAAGUAGACAUUUGUGUAAAAUCAGUUUACCAUAUCCAGAAUAGUUCUACAAGAAGACAAGUUCGCAAUAAUGUCUUCACUUUUAUCAGAGAGAAAACGAGCUGACCUUCUACCAUUGUUUCUGCCUCGUACACAUUAGAUUGUGGUGUCAGCUGUAUGAAGUCAUUCAUAAUAGCUUCAAUCUGACAAGGGAACAUAUAAUGCAAAAAUUAGGCUAUCGCUCCAAUUUCUGUUUUAGUUUCCCAACCAAAUGCUAAAAUUUAGCUUCGCAAAAGUUCAGAGUGCACACAGAGUCGAGAUCUAUGAGCAAUAAUAUAUACAACUUAACAUGGUAUCGGCAUUGAAACAAGAAAACGCAAUAGAAAUUACCAACCUUUGCCUCUGUCUGACCUACGUUAACCUGAAAUACAAGAUCGUUGUUGUGAAUUAUUAUACCACAAGUGCCCUUACAAUUCGAAAAGGUACAAGGAGAACAAAAAACGUACCACGCAAAAUGUUCUGGAUGGAAUGAUUGUUGAUUUAUAUAUGGUUCCUGAAACAUGAAAUGAAAACGUGUUACUAAAGAAACUCCAGUCAUGAACUAAUUAUGUAACCUGUUACUUGUAACGAAUCAGUUCCGUUACACUCAAGAGGCAUAGCUGAUUUUGCUACAUGUUUUGCAAAAUAAAAAGAGAACCAUUUUGGAGUUUCAAUGGGAGAAAUCGAAAAUCAAAAGCAUAAAGAGUGAAGCCAGUGAUAUGUAUAUAUGAGUGAACAUGCCUUUCAAGUCCAAGUACAUGUCUCCGGUUGUGUCUGAAACAACCACUCGUCCAACAGCCCCCAUGUCUCCACUCAAAUCUAUCGAGUCACCUUCACAUUCAACAAGUACCUGUAAAUAUUGUUCACUGGUUUACUUAACCACUGUGCUUUAUCAACUAAUAAAACUCAAAAAAUAGACGUAGUUUGGCCUUUCCAGAACAUAAAUGUCACCAGCUUCCAUAACAAAGAUAUAUAAACGUCGAGUGUAAAACCAUGUGCAAAGAAACAUAGUUGUAUUACCUUUGUACGAUUCACCUUCUCAGAAAGUACCAAAGGCAAUCUUGAACUUGAGCCCUGCAAUAUUUAAAUCUGGUCAUUAGGUAGAACCAUAGAAGAAACAACAAUAGUGGUCCUCGCACAAAGGAACUUACAGAAGAAGGCUUGAUCUUCUGAUCCAUUGUUCCUUCCUCGGCUAUAGUGGUAUCUGUAUCUUUAUCUGCAUGAUAGAGGAACCGUUACGUUGCUUUAUGAACAUCCUAUAUUAAGAAAACAUUGAUACAAUUCUUACCUUCACUUUUAAAAAUUUUCUGUGCACUAUUUUCUUCUUUGGGUGUCUUGCGACUGCUUUUAGACUUUGUUUCUGGAGAUUUUUCCAUUGUUACUUCCUCGGCUAUAGUGGUAUUGAUAACUUUAUCUGCAUGAUAGAGGAACCGUUACAUUGCUUUAGGAAAAUCCUAAAUUAAAAGAACAUUGAUACAAUUCUUACCUUCACUUUUAAAAAUUUUCUGUGCACCAUUUCCUUCCUUGGGUGUCUUGCGACCGCUCUUUGACUUUGUUUUUGGAGAUUUUUCCUUUCCAACUUUCUUAACUGCAGGUUCUUCCUCUGUAGCAUCAAGAACAAAAUCCUCAUCCUUUUCAGUUGACACAGCCACUUCCUGCUUUAUCGGAGCACUAGAGGAUGGUUCAGAAUCAGAUGAGACCAGCCAUACAGAAUCAUCUCCUCCCUGCUAAAGAUACAAUUAAACAGCGUUAUCAUAUCUUCUCAACACUAUACCAAAUUAAGAGUUAGUAGUACUUUUUUUGAAAAUAGUAUAUCACUAUUUUAACAACACAAUCCAUUUAUGAAGCAGAUACAUGCUCACAAGAAAGGCUUGAAUCACAAUAUUUUUUUUCACUAAAGCAAGUAGAGGCAACAAAAGCACUAAGGAGUAGGAUGGAGAGAGUGUCCAAAAGUUUCUUACUUGAGCAUCCUUAUGCUUGGUAGAGAGUUUUUCCCCAUCAACGUUGUUCCCAUUCUGCUUCCCUGCAAAUGAUUCUCCCCGAGUCAAAUACAUGCUUAUAAGAGCUCAACAGUUGAAUAAACAAUACUCCCCACAAAGUCAGAAAUUGAUAGUUUCUCCCUCGCUCUCCAAGAAGGAAAUGACUCAUAAUGUUUGUUCUUUUAAUCUCAGAGCAAAACAAGAUUGUUUUGGCGCAGCAUCUGAAACAAAAUCAUCCAUACCUUCAAGGUUGAGACUAGCAUCUGCUUUCUUCUUUCUAGAAAACACCUGCUCGAUACUCACUUGCUUCAUCACAAGAUUCGUUUCGGAAUUCUUCCUAGACAGUAGUAACUCGACAGAUUCUUGAGACUCGACAGAUUCUUUCUCAAGAAUCGUGGUGUCGUCACCGUCAUCAUCAGGCAAAGGAAGAGACGAAACGGCUUCAGAUUCUCUAUAAGGACUAUCAUCUGAAGAUGAUAGUGACAACAAUGAAGUAGUCAUGGGUGCCUGCGUAACAAAACCAUCCACUUUUCAAUUUUGAAUUUCUAUAGAAUUCAAAAGAAAUAGAAACAGAAAUCCGAUUGAAUCUGAAACCUCGUAAGAGCGAAGCCAAUCUGGAGAUCCCUCUCUAGAGCUACUGCUCAUAAUUUCACUUCUUCAGAGCUCAAAACAACAAUCGAAGCUUCUUCCCAACUUUAAUCUCCACUCAAUUACAACAAAACCAGCUCGUAGAUUCAGGAACUACUUGGCAAAAUCAAAACCCUAAAAAGAGACCUUAAAAGCUAUAAAUUCGAUUGAAAAUCCCAUGAAAUCGAAGCUCACCUGAAGAGAAGACGAAAUUGAGUGAUUAAUGAAUCUAAUGACCGGCGACGAGAUCUAGAAAAGGAAUCUGAAGUGACUAAGAGAAGAAGCAAAGAUUUCGCCGGCGGCGAUAUUGAAGUAUGUGAAAAACGCGGGAAGAUUGGGCAGAAACUGAUUGUUCGUGGUUUCCAAAUGUUUGGUCACAAGAGGAAUACUAUCCCCAACGUGGAGGUAUAAUUUACUAAAAGCCCAAUAGGCCUUAUGGGCCUGCUUGUUUUAUGAUAAUAACCCAUCAGUGAUACUAAUAUACAUAGGUUAAUAUAGGAAAAUCAAACGCCGAUCGAUGUAUUAUUACUGGUUUUUAGGGCAAUACAAAAUUGUAAAAUGAAUACCAAUGGUGUUGGCAUCUGUAAAAAAACAUGUAGCUAUUAUCUUUGGGGCCAAUAAAGCAGUAUCUUAUGGGCCUAUUAAGGCCCAAUAAUACAUCUGUAAGAAACACGGAACUGGCAAAAGGAGGGAGAUAAGGAGAAGAAGAAGCGAAACAAGAAAAGUGUGACAAAGAAGAAAAAUGGGGAGAGACGGAGGAGACAAGAAGCGAGAAACAAUGGCGGUGAUGAGCUUAAUGAAGGAUCAACAGAAUCCAAUUCAACAGUUUCAGAUCAAAUUCAAGGAGAUUGAGACUGGUUUCAAGUCUUGGUUGUCAAAACAGAAGUUGCCGGUGGAAGCCGCCGUAGUCACCGCCAUAGGCGGUGUUCAGGGAGCUUUUAUUGGUGGUCUAAUGGGUACUCUCUCCCCUGAAAUGCCUCAGGCUGGUAUUGACCCUCAAGCUAUGGCUUCGUUAAAGCAAACUCAGGUUUUUAAAUCCUAAUUUUGAUUCACUGGUUAUGUCACUUUCAGUUAGUUAUUGCUAAUUUUUGAAACUUUUUUUGUAGGCUCUUGUUGGUGGGCCUUUGGUUCAAGCUCGGAACUUUGCUGCUAUAACUGGUGUUAAUGCUGGUAUUGCUUGUGUUAUGAAACGGAUUAGAGGCAAAGAGGAUUUAGAAUCUGCGUAAGUUUUCAUUUUGAUCUUUGAAUAGUUGUAGCUUAAUUUGUAUCUUGUAGCUUGUAUUGUAUUGUGUGUGUGAAUUGUUGUUUCUUGGUUCUGACGUUUUUCAUCAGUGAUCUAGGACUUAACGAAUCCUAGAAACUCAAUUUUCGGAGCUGUUGUUAGAGACAAUUAGUGUCUGCAAGUAGUGUUUAUGUUUUGCAAUUGUCAUUUUUCUGAUCAACAGUUAGGUCUUAAUCAGAUUCUCUGUCACAGGAUUGAUUCCAUGACAGGAAAAAAAGAUGACUUUGCUUAUUUUUUUCAUCAUUUAUUGCUUCAUUGAGUUACAAUCUCUACCCGAGUUAGUUCGUUAUGAUUAUUCUGAUACUUAAAAUGAUUCACUGUUCUUGUAGGGCUUUGACUACUUGUGUGUGUUUACUUUUGAAACAACUUAUAUACAAUCUUUGAUGGGUGAAGAUUCUUAGUGGCUUAUUUGUUUGUUAAAACUCGAUGGUUGAAUUGUGCAGUGUGGUGGCAGCAUUCGGAUCAGGAGUUGCGUAUUCUCUUGUGAGCGCAGGAUUACAAGGACAACCUAUGAAUGCAAUCACCACUGCUGCUGGUUUCGCUCUUUUUCAAGGAGUAUUUUUCAAGGUAAGUGAUCAUAUAGGAGAUAAAACUCUUCUUGAAACUAGACAGGCACGUCAUUAGUCAUAAGUUUAUAUUCUCUUCUUUUCGGUCGUGGUCAGUUGGGUGAAAGAUUCUCUAAACCAAGUGUUGAAGAUCCAUAUUACACCCGGGGCAGAUCUAUGUUGUUGAAACUGGGUCUAGAGAAGUACGAGAAGAACUUCAAGAAGGGUUUAUUAGCAGACCCAACUCUGCCAUUGCUCACUGAUAGGUACUGUACUAUCUUGAGCUUCUGAGGUUUCAUAAUCUGUUUCAACUAAAGCUAACUGUCUAUAUCGAAAUCGUAUACCCGCUAAACUCUGUUUGUGUCCAGUGCGCUAAGAGACGUGAGCAUCCCGCCUGGACCAAGGCUACUGAUACUUGAUCACAUCCAAAGGUUCGAAUCUUAUCUCUCUAUUUUGAGAGACAUGAAUCUGUGAAAUCACUGAAGUGAAUUGAAUUGUGGUGAUUAUACAGGGAUCCUGAGCUAAAGGGCAAACGGGGAAGUCGUGGUUGAGAAUUGAGAGCCUCUCUGUUUCUUCCGCAGAAUCGUUGUCUUUCUUUGUAAUAUGUUAUAAGGAUUUCAAGCACUAUUAUUCUUAAUUAUUAUUAUUGGUUGAUGUUGCUAGCAAGAAACUUUGAAUACAACCUUAAAUAUGGUCGCCAUAUCUAAAAGUUCAAAGAUUUCUAUAUGAACCUGGAAAUGGUUGAAAUGGAUAACACAAUAAAAACUCUUAAUCAGUAAUGUGAACAUUUAAAGCCAAACAUUAAGUAACCAUGUUAUUAAUUAUUCAGUUUAACAGAAACCAAAACACACAAGUUGUAUAUCUUUCAUGAAAAAAGUGUAUAUAAGCUUUGUGCUGUCGAGCUUUGGACCCGGAAAUAGAAGAUUGACCUCAAUUUUAACCUUUGUGGUACAACAGAAUUUUUGUUUAGAUGUGAAUUUAUAGUGUAUAUAUAGAAUUAUGUAAAUGUUUUAUUAAUUUCAAAAAUGUAUUCCGCUGCCGGGUUUUGAACCCGGAAAUAGAAGAUUGACCUCAAUUUUAACCUUUGUGCUACAGCGGAUCUUUUGUUUAAAUGUGAAUUUAUAGUGUAUAUAUAUAAUUAUGUAAAUGUUUUAUUAAUUUCAAAAAUAUAUUUUGCUGCCGGGCUUUGAAUCCGGAAAUAGAAGAUUGAACUCAAUUUUCUUGUUGUUAGAUCGUAUCAUAUUGCUACUUUUUCGUCUUAUUGGCAAAAUUUAUAUGAUAUAAUAUAUGAAUCUUGUUUUUUUUUGGAGAAUCCAUAGUGGUUAAUUUAAUUUUUAAAUUGUUUAAUUAGAUUUUAUGGCAAUUUCGGAUUGGUUAAUUAAGAUGUGGUGGAUAAGAGAGGUUCAUCCCUAGAGAUGAACUAAAAAAUUGUUCUUUAGGAAAUUUAUAGUCUCAAUAGCUAAAAAUUCACAUCAACUUUCUAUAUGAACCUAGCAAUGGUUGAAAUGCAUAACCCAACAGAAACUCUUAAUCAAGCAAGCAGUAAUGUGAUCACUUAAAUCCCAAUUCUAAAUGAUCAUGUUAUUAAUUCAAUAUUUAAGAGAAACCUGAACACGUGGAUUUUGAGUUUUUAACUAAUUUAUGAUGGGUUUUAGUCUUUUAGAAACCCAACAUUUGUGUGGUUAUCAAAAAUCUGUAUAACUUUAAUUUGCAUCAUCUUUCUUACUCAAGCUAAACAUCUGAAAAGGGAAAAGAAUAUAUCCAAUUUAAGUGUUGUAACCAUGAACUUGAACGCGUUUGUUAAGAAACUUGUUAUUACUCAGAAUACUUUAGCAUUUUGCUCAUGUUGAAUCUCUUGUUUCCUAAUUAUAGUUUAGUUAGUGUAACGAACCUCCUUGUACUUCCUUUUCACAUUAACUUGUGCUUAAUGACUAUGUUAAUAAAAAUAUCUUCACUAAAAUAAUAAGCAAAAAUCACGUAACAAACCAUAUGAAAUGUCAUUAUCGUCGGUGGCUCGUGAAUGGUCUUUUUUUUUUAAUCCUAUCGGCUGAUCCGGUCGGUCUCGGUAGGAACGCACCGAGGUGCUACAGAGUGGACUUUUCCCGAUCCAGGUAGAAUUGGGCCACCACACUGCCUGAUCCGAGUUUGGAAUACCUUCCGACUAAUGCCAGGGGUAGUCAGGCCGCCUGCAUUUCUGACUACCAGGUAAACCAGUUGGGCCUUGACCUCCCAAACAAAUGUGUUUUUGUUUCCAGAGAGAAUCGAACUCGGGUCUAGGAGUUUCACCCUUCACCAAAGCUUCCUCUGCCACUAGACCACAGAAGCUUGGGCUAGAAAGAAAGUACUUGGCUUUAAGAAUGAAUCAUAUAUUCUUAAUUGGAUAUGCUUUCCCUUAUAUUCAUGAGUCAUGACGUCUUCUUUAUAAAGUUGGUUCAAGCAGGUUAACAUAUACAUAUAAUAAUGUUUUCAAGAAAAAUAUAAAGAUAAACAAACCGCAUGUAGUUUCACAUAUUUGAGUUGUUGAAACCAUAACCAUCCUGAAUUCCCUAAAAAGAUCGAUUGCGUUUCACCAUUCAAAAUUUUGGUUGUAGUUAGAAAAUAGUAUUGUUUAUUUUCUAUUUUAUUUAUGUUAGGUAUCACAUCGACAUCUAAAAACAUUUGAUAUAAACACAUAUUCAUGAAAAUGACUCAAAUUGAAGGCAUGUAGAUGUGAGGUCUUAUGUCAUAUAUGGAACAUUUUCAUUUGCCCACGAAUUAGCAUAAAUACAACCUUCUGUUUUUACCUUUCGAAUUUUUUUUUCUGGUAAAGAUCACAUUAGCUACACCAUCCUUAUAGGUCGCCGAAUCUUUUGAUUAAGACACAUUGUUUUCAAGAUUAUAAACAAGCUUCAAGCUCGAUGUCAAGCUCCUUCUUAAGAAAACUUAGAAUAAUUUCAAAAUAAAAUGCAUAAUUUGUUUUAUUUAAACUUCAUCAAACUCUACACAGACCAAAACCAAUGUUGCAUGGACAGAGAUAUCAACGAUUCAACGGAAGCCAACAACUUCUUCAUAGACGCAUGGAUGAAAAUAGUCACCAAGUAAUCUAGGAAAACCAAAAUCUCAAUUUGUAAAUAAACUUUUAUCAAACGUGUUAUUUCAAUUACUCUAGAUUACCUUAUAAUAAAGAAAUUUAGAGCUCUUUUGAUAAAAAUUGAGUUAUUUCUAACCAAAAAUCGAAUAUCUUCUGCUUUAUAUUCAAUGACUUUCAUCCAUCACCUUUUUCAACAAGAUCAAAUUUUCUUUUGGAUUUACGAUAUGAUAAGCCCCCAAGAUGAGCCAGUAACAACAUUGAUUUUUGUUUAUAUAGAAAUUUCCAAGGAGAAAUUCAAUAUAUAGACAAAAAUAAAAACCUCUACAUAUUGGCAAUGAACCAAUUUGAGGAUACAUCCAUGCAUGAUCCAACAAUCUAAGAACCUAUCCUUUACACAAAUAUCUAUUCUAGGGAGAGACAGAGUCGGAGGAGAAACGAGAGAGCUCUUUCGUAAGGAAGAUGAUGCGAGAGUGGUAAUCGCGCGCCUGGUCUAAAGAUUCGGCUUCAAGCUCAGCCAGCUGAGAGCAAAGAUGCUCCUCAGCCUCCUCAGCCACCUGCGUCCGCCGCCACAACUGCACCAUCUCUUUCCUCAUCUCCUCCACCGCUUUUUCCAUCUCUCCGUUCUUCUGUCGUAGCUCCUCCACCUCCGAAGCCGCCACCAUCACAUAGUUGCCUCCUUUCCCCAUUUCCUCUCUUUUUAUUUGAUGUUUUUUUGAUGAUUUCUCUUUUCUUUCUUUUUGUGUCUCUUUACGUUUUUGUUUGUUGUUCUUCUUAUUCUUUUGGUAAUUGAUUGUUCCUUAUAUAGGCGUCUCUGCGACUGGUCUUUGGGUGGUGGGUAUAUGUCUAGAUUCAUUGAUAUCUCUUGUUUUUCGUUCUUAUUUAUGGUUGGUUAUUUUUUUUUCCUCUAGAACAUUUUCUUUUUUAAUAAUGUUCCGAUAUAUACGUUGGAUCCAAUAAUAUAACAUGUGAGUUCUUUUUAGCAAAACUAUUUUGUAGACUUGGGUAGGAGGAUAUUCGAAAACUUUAACACCUACAAUUUCAUCUAUUUGAUAUUUACUAUUUAGCAAAAAAAAAAAAAAAAAAAAAUUUAGACCAAUCUUUUUACGGGAGACACUAUUACUAUUGAAUCUAUUGUAGGCUUUAAUAAUAGGGAGGCCAUAAAAUGUACUUCGUCCAUUUUUUUUUUUUCUGAUGUUUAAGGUUUUUCAUUUUUGUAUAUCGAUUAAAGAACUAUUUAAAUUUUUUAUGUAUUUUUAAAUGAAAACAAUUUUUUUUAAAUUUUCGUAUCGAGAAAGCUGAUCUAUAGCCAAUCUUUACUACGCGAGAUAAUGCAGUUUAGUGGAAUCGAACUCUGGUGAGGAAGGUAGAGUCAAAUGGACUUAACCAAAAAUAAAGUAAUAAAUCAUAUGAAAUGUCAUUGGCGGUGCCUCGUGAGUGGUCGUUGUGUUUAAAAGAGCAAAAAAAAAAAAAAAAAAAACUUGUAGUGUUUCGGUUAUACAAAUGUUUCAUCUUAUAUUCAUGACGUUCUCUAUUUUGUUUCACUCAAAUAUUUUACAUGAACAUAUAGCAUAUAAAAUGCUUUCAAAAAGAAAAGCUAAUAGUCUAAUUAGUGACACAAACCAAUAUAUAUUUUUAAGACUAUAAGAUAUCAAUAAAAGAGAUGACGAUAUAUUUACAAGCGGUAAAAGUAAAACUAAUGGUAAAAGGUAGCAAUACGAUAAAUAAAAAAAAUGAUAAUACCACCGUAUGUAUACUUAUACCACGACGGUAAAACAUCAUCAGUGAAAAGAUGCAGAUCUGUUUGGCUAUCCUAAAUUUCCUAAAGAGACGGAUUGCGUUUCACCAUUCAAAACUUUACUUGUAGAUAGAAAAAUGGAUAAUUGUUUAUUUUCUAUUUUGUAAAUGUUAGGUAUCACAUCGACAUCUAAACCAAUUAAUAUAAAACACAUACUCAUGAAAAUGACUCCAAGGCAUGUGAGUAUGUGAGGCCAUAUAUCAAAUAUGUGAUCUUUUUAUUUGCCUACCAAUUAGCAAAUCCUUCUCUUAAGGGUGUAGCUUUCCAAUUAUUUCAGGAAAAAGAUCACAUGACAUUAGCUCCACCAUCUAAUAGGUCGCCGAAUCUUUUAAAUAAGGACACAUUUUCUUCAAGCCUCUCUCUUUUUUUUGCUAAUAAAUUAUUAAUCUAAAUAUGAAUUGCACAUAUUUGUUUUUUUGUUCACAACUUGCUUAUAUAAAACAAACUUCAACUUUUACCAAAAAUAAAAUAAAACUUCAACAUAUACGCAUGGAUUAAAGUAGUCCCAAAAACUUAAAAACAAAAUCUUUAUUUGUAAUUGGUCAUCAUUUCACAUGUAAAAAAGAAAAGAGAAAUACGAAACAUGAACAUAAUUGUUUUUAAAAUUUCUUUCAAAUUCUAUUUCUUUUGUUAAAGUAAUUAACACGUCUUAUAAACAAAAAAAAUCGAUUUAUUUCAAACCAAACAUCGAAUAUCAUUUACUUUAUAUUUUCAAAGACUUUUCAUUCAUCACAUUUUUUUUCCAACAAGAUCCAUUUCUUUAAAGAUUUACCAUAUGGUAUUCGAAUUUCGCUAAACGCCCGACGACUAAUCGCAAAAAUCAAUCGGUAACAACAUCGACUUUUCUUCUGUUUUGGUUGAAAUUUCCAUGGAGAAAUUUUCCAUUAAAAAAAAAAAAAGACAAUUCUACAUAUUGGCAUUGACAGAGCCAAUAAAAGAUACAUCAAACAAUCUAAAAAACCUAUAUUUCUAUCUAUUCUAAGGAGAGGCAGAGACAGAGUCUGAAGAAAGACGAGAGAGCUCGUUCAUGAGGACAAUGAUACGAGAGUGGUAAUCACGAGCUUGGUCUAAAGAUUCAGCUUCAAGCUCGGCUAGCUGAGAGCAGAGACGCUCCUCCGCUUCCUCCGCCACCUGUGUCCGCCGCCACAACUGCAACAUCUCUUUCCUCAUGUCCUCCACCGCUUUUUCCAUCUCUCCGUUCUUCCGUCGUAGCUCCUCCACUUCAGAAGCCGCCACCGUCACAUAGUUUCCUCCUUUCCCCAUUUUAAAGAUUUCUCUAUCUUCUUUUUUUGUUACUUUGAGUUGUGUUUUUUUUUGUUGCUUUGUGUUUUGUUUGGGGUUCUUGAAUGUUCCUUAUUAAUAGGCGUCUUUGAGACUGGGGUUUGGGGUGGGUUUAUGUCUAGGUUCAAUAUAUCUAUAUCUUUUGUUCUUCUUUUUAUUUCUGGUGAGUUAUUUUCUUCAUCUAGAACAUUUUCCGAUAUACACGUUGGAUCCAAUUAAUAGUAUUUUGGAAUAUUUUAGUGGUACCAUACAAUUGUUUUAUUGGUUAGAGACAAAUAUGUUUUUGGAGAAGACAAAAUAUAAGUUACAAUAAAAAUUAUUAAUCAAUACAGUAAAAUAUAUGUGUUCAGUUAUAUAAUUCUAGUUAUUUCAAUAUUACAAAUGCCAAAAACAUUUAGAAAAAUGAAAAAUAUUUAUCUAAAUUGAUACAUUUUUAAAAAUGGAGUAUUUUGCAAGCUAAAAAUGAAUAUUUUAAUCAAUGACAAUAGAUAUUCUUAGUCCAAUUAACAAAAUGGAUUAAAACAUAAAUGUUUUGGACCCUUUUACUUUUAUCUAGUUGCUAUACAUAUAAAGUAAUGAAUAUUUCAUAACAUGUUAUUAUUUAUGUGGACAUCUAAGUUAUCAAUUGGAAAUCGUGCACGUGGAUAGUUUUAUCAUAAGAGAGAUUCAAUUAUUUACUGUUGAGCUAUGGUUUAGGCUUUUUUUUUUUUUUUUUUUUUUUUUUUUUUUUUUUUUUUAAUGGUUUAGGCUUGCAUCUAGUUAAUUAACGCUUUUCAUGUUUUCAUGUUUACUGGACCAUAAUUGAUAAUGAUUCGAUCAAUUUAUACAAGUGUAAACCAUAGCUCGUAAGUAAGUAAUGAAAAAUUGUUACAUUAUAGACCCACUGAGCUGUCAAUUUCAUCAAAACUAACUAUAUAUGUUGAUAGAUCAUAAUAAUACAUCAUCUCGAAAGUGGUCCUAAACUCAGGAUUAAGAUGUUCAAAUAUGUUUUCAUAUACGUAUGUAAAAAAAUAAAGAUUGUGAUGAUUCAAACGAUAUUUAUAUUUAUAUAUAUCCACCAACUCUUUAUCCUCAAAAAAUAUAUAUAUCCGUAAAGAAAAUAUAUAUCCGCUGCAAAAAAAUUUUUGUAAAGCAAGUUCGGCCCAAUAUUCUUAUUAAUUUGAUCAAUCAAAAUAUUUAUGUUUUAAUCCAUUUUUGCACUUGAAAAAUUAAUUGAACUAUUUCUUACCAUAAAUUGAACAAAAUUUCGGAAAUUGCUUUUUGAAGCAUCCAAUUUUCAAAAUUUAAUAUAUUCAUUAAAAAAACUUAAUUAAAAAAACUCAUGGGUUUGUGUUUUCAAAAGCUUAAUUAAUUUUCAGAAACCACCAAACUAAUCGUUGAAUAUAUUUUCUUGGCGAAAACGUUGACUGGACACUAAAAAAAUUAAAGAGUAUUUGAAUUUUCAAUGGAAACCCCACUUAUUUAAUAGGAGAAACCCUCUUUAAACUUCUUUUUUUCUGUUUUGCUAUUUCAUAGAAUAUGGAGAAAAUAUUCUAUGAAAAGAAUAUGGAGAAAAUAUUUGUUUUCCACUACUUCUCUUAAUUGCUAAAAGGAAUGUUGGAAAUCAUUUUCUCACCUUUAUCUUUUCCACUAAUAUCUUCCGUCAAUUAUAGCCAUUAACUUGGAGCACAAAGCCUUUGUCGAUGUAACCCACAUUCCCACUUCUUUCUCUUAAUUAGACAAUAUCUCCCAAAGUCAAGGGCUGUCACGAUUAUACAACUAUUCUUGUAUAGUUAAAGUUACGGCUCCGAUUGUUAGUUCUUAAAUUACUUAUUGGCUAUUUCUUUAUCGGUCUGUAUAUAGGGAAAACUAAGAAGACUUUGGUUAUGAAUGGAACAAUGGUGUCAAUGUGUCAUGAUCAUGAAGAUAAUAAAAUAAUGCAGUGGGGUUUAAUUUUGAAAAUAUAAUAUUGGUUAAAUCUUGAAAAUCGAAUUAGAAAAUUAAUAUUGCAAAACACAGAGUGGCUUGUCACCAACUGUUGAAAUCUUUAGUUUGGAAUAUGCUCUAUGGAUGCUGAUCAGUGAUCACUAUCUCCAUAAUAUCUAAUUAAUUAAAAAAUUAAUCAUUAUUCGUCCAAAAAUAAUAUCCCAAAUAGAAUUUAAAACACUCAAUUACGUCACCAACUAUGUUACGUGAGCAACAUCGGUAUACAUGUAGAAAAUAAUUUCCAGUUUUGUAAUAUUGCAAGAUCACCAUAAAAAGGGUGAAAACAAAAAUAAUUCAAGAAGGAAAAUUUGGUAGCAUAGUGGUGGAGAUAGUUUUUAUAUUUUAAGAUCUUUACAUUUCACCAAAUUGAGGAAGAUGAAAGUUUAAAGAAAUUGGCCAAGAAGCUCGAGACCUUAGGCCCUUGUUAAAUUAAAUAAUUUACUACAAAAAAAAACUGUCCAAUAGCUAGCCAGCGAUGUGUAAAAUUAGCUAAGUGUAUGAGUUUGCACAAUUUCUUAGUCCAUUUAGGGUAAAACAGUUAAUUUAUACACAAGCUAUGAAUUUCUCUUACAAUAUGUACAUGAACUAUUGACAUGUGUAAUCUCUAAAAUAGAUGGUAGUUAAUCUCUAAAAAAUAUAAUAUUUGAACAACAGUUUAUGUUCAAAACAACAGUUUAAUGAAUCAUGAUAUUGGAUUCAAAUAACUCGAGUAACUAAAAUAUUUCUAAAAUAAUAGCUUGACUAAUGGGAUCAUAUAUAUAUGAUAUAGAUUAGUCAUAGUCAUUCAUAUCCAACCUUUGGAAAUUCCAACUGAGAGGAGAAGAGUAGUUGGGAUAUGUCAAAACUCUAGACAUAGAUUCUAACUCUUUCAUCAUCUUCUCUUUAGUUUCAAGCUUGCAGGUUGAUUUCAUAGAAAUUCCAGCUCUCUUUAAACACUUAGGCUUCAAUUAGUAACCAUAAUUUAGGAAAAGAAUGAGAAGGAAUGUUAGAUUCCUCUUUGUUCCUCAAUAUUUUUAUCAUUUACAUGUAAUAUUUUUUCCACACCAUUCCUCACCAAAAGAGGAACACUAGAACAAAAAUGUUCCUCUCCAAAAUUGAUGAGGAACAAAUGAAACAAAAAAGGAACAAAUAUUAAAAUUCGUUUUUAUUUUAAAAUAAAUAAAAAAAUAAAGUUUAUCAAUAAUAUUUGUAUUUUAUUAUAUAAUAAUUUUCAUAUCUUCACAAUAUAUUAACAGAAAAAAUAUUUUUGAUAAGAAUUUCAUGUUGAAUUACUCUUAAGACUUCACUUGAAAAAUAUAUAAAUAGUAAAAUAAAUUUAAAAAUGUUUAUAUUGUAAAAGAAUAAUAUAUUUUAAAUUAUUCUUUCAAUUUUAUUUUAUGUUAAUAUUAAAUAUUAUUAUUUAAAAUGAUAUAUAUAUAUAUAUAUAUUUAGUUCACAAAUUUUUUCAAAUACAAAUUUUCAAAUUAAAUAAAUAUAAAAAAUACUUAGUAUUUUUCGUUGAAAUUUGAUUUAUUUACUAUUUAAUAUAUCUUUAAAGAUAUUUUUAAUGUUUGGUUACCAUUCAUCAUAAUAGUACAUUUUAUUCAUUCCCUGCAUCUUUUCUUUUCCGUUCCUCAAAAAUUGUUUAUUCCAUUCUGCAUUGUUCUUUUUAUUCCUUUUCUUUUUGUUCUUUUAAUGGUUACCAGUCGGAGCCUUAGUGUUGGCAAAGAUAUAUUUUAUGGCUUCUUGCUCCUUGCUUAGUCCUAUAUAUCCUUUCCACUCAAAGAUCUCGAGAUGAGCUGAGAAACAUCCGAGAACAGAACUCGGUUUUUUCCAUGAAAGUGAAAAUUUCUCAUCAAGUCGAAUUAAUGUUUGUGAAGCAACAACAAAAGAUAUAUAAAGUAAACACUUAGUUAUUCUUUUCUCUUUAUUUUAUUGCUCUAUCAAAAUUGACAUGAAAGAAACUACAAACCUGGUCGAUGAAAAGAACUUUAAGAUUAGGAGAAUUUUGUAGCAAUCCCAUUAGUGAUUCCAACCUGUCUAACUCAGCUAAAAGUAUUACUUUACACUAUAUUAGCUUGGAAAAGUUAAUAGCGUUACACCAAACAACCUACAAUGAAGGCAAUAACACAUAGAUAAGCGCUAGUUAUAUAAUAUAUGGGACAAUAAAAAAAGAGUGAAGUUGAAAUAACGCUACACACCGUUGCAGUUCUCAAAUCUAGUUCGAAAUUCAUGACUGAGGAAAUAGAUCUCAUAAACUUAUCAUCAGGGUAACUUAAAAAGCCGAUACUUGCUUUAUCAAAACAAGGCUUGUUCUCAAUCGAACAAGAAUCUCCCGAUAUAAUCUCUAUAGAAAUUUUUUUUUUAAAGUCGGGGAAUCUAUAACCAAAGAUCCUCCUAUUGCUUCGUUGUGCACUCCAAAAUGAUUAACAUUAACAUAUAUCAAGUAUUCCAAAGAUGGGACUUCUAUAUUGAAAUUUCUAACGUUGUCUUGGUGAUGUCGUUUUACCCACAAAAUUUUGAGAAUAGGACAAUUCGAUAAAAGCAUAACAAGAGAAUAGGUCUGUAUUUUCCCUAAGAAGACUUUGGUUAUGACUUAUGAAUGGUGUCAUGAUCAUGAAGAUAAUAAAAUAAUGCGGUGGACUUUAAUUUUGAAAAUAUAAUAUUGGUUAAAUAUUGCAAAACACAGAAGGACUGGUCACCAAAUGUUGAAAUCUUUUAGUUGGAAUAUGCUCGAUGGAUGCUGAUCAGUCAUCACUAUCUCCAUAAUAUCUAAUUAAUUAAAAAAUUAAUUAUCAUUCAUCCAAAAAUAUCCCAAAUAGAUUUUAAAACACCCAAUUACGUCUCCAACUAUGUUACGUGAGCAACAUCGGUAUACAUGUAGAAAAUAAUUUCCAGUUUUGUAAUAUUGCAAGAUCACCAUAAAAAUGGUGAAAUCAAAAAUAAUUCAAGAAGGAAAAUUUGGUGGCAUAGUGGUGGUGGAGAUAGUUUUUAUUUUUCAAGAUCUUUUAUAUCUCACCAAACUGAGGAAGAUGAAAGUUUAAAGGAAUUGGCCAAGAAGCUCGAGACCUUAGGCCCUUGUUAAAACUAAAUAAAUUUGUGAUCUAUCUACUACAAAAAAAACUGUACAAUAGCUAACAAGAGAUGUGUAAAAUUAGCUAGUGUACUAAGAUAUGACCCGCGGUACACCGCAGGCUAAAAUAUUUAAUAAUUUUACAUUUUUAUUUUAAGUUGAUGAAUUUUUUGUAUUUAUUUGGUAUGUUUUUUGGGACCCUUUUUUAUAUGUUAAUUUUCAAAAAAUCUAGAACUUAACCGAGAUAAUAUUUUUUUAUAUAUAUAAUAAUGUUAGAUUUUGGUAUUUUAUUAUUUAGUAUUAAAGUUAUAUGAGUUAAACUUUUGGUAUUUUUAGAUUUAACAUGUAUAACAUAUGUAAUUGAAUAACUUAGUAUUGCAAUUACACAUUUGGACGAAGAUUAAAACUUUAAAAAACUUAUUAUAUAUAUAUAUAUAUAUAUAUAAAUGUUAGAUUUUUACGAUAAAUUUUAUCUAAUAUUAAAGCUAUAUGAUUACACUUUUUGGUUUAAGAGAUUUAAUCUGUAAUUUAGAUGUAAUUUAGUAACUCAAUUACACAUUCAGAGAUUGACCCGUGGGACAUUAAUGAAAUCAGAAUUUAGAUAUAAAAUUCAUAUUUACCAAAUUUAGUAAAUUGACCCGUGGAACAUUAGUGAAAUCAGAAUUUAGACCCGUGGAACAUUACACAUUUACAAAAUAUCCAAAAUUAGAUAUAAAACUAAUGAAAAUCAAAACAUACAUAGAAACAAAAUAAGAAAACAGAAAACAUUUAGAGUGAAUUACAAAAUAUAUAAAAAAAAAUAUGAUGUGAUUUAGUAUCAAAAAUUAACCAUAUAAAACCUUUUAUUGGUAAAACUUAGUUGAUUAAAAAUGAUAACAUUAGAAUAAUAAAAAUUAAAAAUAAGAAUCUCAUUUUAUGUAUAAAAAGAAAUCAUUUUCUUCUUACCCUAAAGAAAGAAGAAGAAAAUGAAUGAAUUUGUUAGCCUUAAAAAAUAUAUUUACAAACAUUAAGAUUGUGGAGAAGAAACAUGAAAACGUUUGCAAAAAGAAACUGGACAAUUGAAACAAAAAUCGAAGAUCAAAUGAUAAGAAGUACUACCAACUAAUCUUUUAGUGGAGCAUAAAAAAUAUUAGGUAACAACUAAUUGUUUAAAAGAAUAGUAACAUGAAAAUGAUCAUUUUUAUUUUGCUUUGGAAUGAAAAAAUCAAAGUGUUUGGUUAUGGUGUUUAGAAACUAAGAUUGAAGAGGUAUUUAUAGAUUACAAUGAGUAGGUUAAAUAAAAUAUUUUAAUCAUAAAAUCUUGAAGAUCAAGCAAAUGGAAUAUAUUCGAAAUCUCUAAAUAAUUGGUAGUUUCUAUUUUUCAAACUAAUUACAAACUUUAGAAUAAUCUUUAGGUUUUUUUUUUUUUUUUUUUUUUGCAAUCAUAAACAUUUCCUUAAUUUGUUUCACUUUAAUUUCCUGAUAUGGAGAAGAUUUGAAGUUACGAAAAUCUAUCCAAUGAAGCAAAAGAAAUUUAUCACUAAAAUAAUAUGUUUUACAAAAGUUUAGAAUAUUUUCGAUAUUAUAGAGAUUUAACUAUAUAUAGGCUUAAUAUUAACUUACCACAUAAUUAUUUCCUUAAUUAAAAUCGUAAUAACUAUAAAUAUUGAAAUCAAGAUUCCCCAUUUAAAAUAAACUAUCUAUAUAUACAAUUAUAUUUAAUUCCGAUAUCUAUGUUUUCCUUAAUUUAUAUUUUUUAAAUAUACUAACCGAAUUAGAUUUAUGCAAGAUUUUGGUUAAUUAAAUGUCAUUUGGAUUUAAUAUAGGGAUUAUCAAAUAAGGAAUUAUCCGAUUUAAAAAUUUUCGUUCAAAUAAAGUAAAUAUGGAAGAAUCCGAAUCAAAGAUUUCCGGGUCAAAAUCAAUUAAAACCCGACCCGAUUAGAAGGAGCAAAAAUGUUAAGUAGAUGAGUAUGAGUUUGCACAAUUUCUUAGUCCAUUUAGGGUAAAACAGUUAAUUCAUACACAAGCUAUGAAUUUCUCUUACAAUAUCUACAUGAAUACUGACAUGUGUGGUUAAUCUCUAAAAAAAUAUAAUAUUUGAACAACAAUAUAUGUUCAAAACAACAGUUUCAUGAAUCAUGGAUUCAAAUAACUCGAGUAACUAAAAUAUAUUUAAAAAUAAUAGCUUGACUAAUGGGACACAUAUAUAUGAUCCAUGAUAUCGAUUAGUCAUAGUCAUUCAUAUCCAACCUUCGGAAAUUCCAACUGAGAGGAGAAAAGUAGUUGGGAUGUUGUCGAAACCCUAGACAUAGAUUCUAACUAUUUCAUCAUCUUCUCUUUAGCUUCAAGCUUGCAGCUUGAUUUCAUAGAAAUUCCAGCUCUCUUUAAACACUUGGAGUUGGCAAAGAUAUAUUUUAUGGCUUCUUUCUCCUUGCUUCGUCCUAUAUAUCCUUUCCAAUCAAAUAUCUCGAGAUGAGCUGAGAAACAUCAGGGAACAGAACUCGGUUCCUUCCAUGAAAGUGAGAAAUUCUCAUCAAGUCGAUUAAUGUCUAUGAAACAACAACAAAAGAUAUAAAGUAAACAUUUAGUUAUUCUUUUCUCUUUAUUUUAUUGGUCUAUCAAAACUGACAUGAAAUAAACUAUUCCCUCCGUUUCAUAAUGUAAAUCGUUCUAAAAGUACACAGAUUAAAAAUAUCUACUUUUAAAAAUUCAGCCAAUCAUAAAAUAAACUACAUAAUAUAAAUAAUUAUAAAAUUUUAAGGUAAUCUAUAUUAUUAAUUGGGAAUCACUAAAUAUUAAAUAACAUUAUGAAGAGUAAAAUAUUACAAAAAAUACCAUUGGUUUUUAGUGUUUUCAAAUAACUUCAUUAAGGGUACAAUAGUAAUCACAAAAUUAAUAUAUUUAAAUGAAAAAUAGUUUAAUUCUUUUAAAUAAUUAUUAAUUUCCAAAAAAAUAAACUAAUUUUCUCUCUCUUAUUAAUUAUACACGAAAAUUUGAAAUUAAUUUUUAAAAAAUUGUUAACCAAUAAGAAUUGAAAAACUAAGAUUUUAUCUAAACGUAAUAAACUAUUCUAUAUCAAAAAUAAAAAGAAAAAUAAUAUCAUUUUAAUUCAAAAUUAAAUACACUAUCGUUUAAAAGAUUUAUCAAUGGAGGACUUUAAGAUUAAAUUUAAAAUUUCGUAAGAAAACUAAAUACAAAUAUUUUAAGAUUCAGUUUUGUUAUAAUAUUUUCACAAAUUUUAAAAUAUAAAACAAAAUAUUAUUUCAAAAUUUCUAAAAUACGAUAUUAGAUAUUAACAACUAUUUAUAUUUAUGAUGAAAUAAACUCAAAUAAUAAUAAAUUUAAAGUAAUUAUCAUUAUAGCCUUCGUUUAGAGCAAGUUUGAUAAAUAUCUAACAGUAGAUUGUAUAUAUUAAUUUCUAAAUUAUUUUGCGUUUUAUUUUUUGUUUUUCAACCGGAUCUUCCUUAAACAAAUCUUUAAUAUAUUACACACUGUUUUCAAAUAAUGUAAACUAAUUAUAUGUUUUGAAUUCAAAACAAAUUAUGCAGAAAUAGCAUAUACCUUUUAGAGAUGUAUCUCAAAUUUUUAUUUUUAGUCCAAAAAUCAAAUUAAUUAUGAUUAAACAAUAAAAAGAAGAAUAUGAAAAAUUUAGCAAAGAAAGAAACAUUAAUAAAUUUGUUAAAAUAUAUUUGUAACUUUAGCAGCAAAUAUAUUAAUCUGCAAAACUCACAGUAUGUAUUGUAUGGUAUUUAAAAGUAAGCACACAAGAAUUUGGAACAUGAUUUCAAUGAAAUGAAAUGAGAAUAGGAAUUACGAGACGGGAUGAGAGGGGAACAUAAAUUAAAAAUCAAACUAAAUACCCAAUUGGUAUGAGUUCAGGCUAUGAGCACUAUAUAAAAUAAAUUUGUUUAUAUUCAUAACCCUGUACGUAAGUUUUCAGUUACACAUAUUCUAUUUAUGCCGAAUACUGGACCUUCAUAUUUUUAUUUCACGUAUACGAGACGGGUUAUGGGACCAAGAAUUUAUGACGGAUACAGGACGGGAUAGGUUUCCCGUUCUAAAAUAGUUACGUCUAGCUAAUAUACAUGAAAUAACCAAACUCAAACCGAAUCUAUAUCCUAUUUAAAACAUGUAAUCAAACUAUUAGAAAUGUUUUGAUUAGUUUAGAAAAUAAAAAAGUAACAUCAUUUAACUUUUGAAACUAAAUUAUAUCUUAGUUUUGUCUUAAAUAUAAUUUCGCACGUACGUGUAGGUACGGAUCUUAAAAUAUAACUAUGCACUAACGCAACUGAAUUUCGUUCAUUACUCUAAUUUUAUAAUAUUUAUACUAUUAUAACGUUCACUAACACAACAAAAUAUUUUAUAUUUUUAAAAUCUAUAUAACAAUUUCUAUAAAAAUAUCUCUGCACGUACGUGUGAAUCCAGAUCUAAUACACUAAAAUAUAUAUCAAAGAAACAACGAAAUAAUCUAUAUUGAAUUAAAAUUUGUUAGAACUUUUUUAAAAAUAUGAAAUCCCGCACAUAUGUGCGGGUCAUGAUCUAGUAUAUAAUUUGCAUAGAAACUUGAAAAUGACUCUAUUGUGAAACAAAAAAGUUUACCCAAAACGACUUAUAUUAUAUUAUGAAACAGAGGGAGCACAAACCUGGUUGAUGAAAAGAACUUUAAGAUUAGGAGAAUUUUGUAGCAAUCCCAUUAGUGAUUCCAACCAGUCUAACUCAGCUAAAAGUGUUACUUUACACUCCAUUAGCUUGGAAAAGAUAUUAGCGUUACACCAAACAACCUACAAUAAUGGCAAUAACACAUAGAUAACUGCUAGUUAUAUAAUGGGACAAUAAAAAAAAAAAAAGUGAGGUUGAAAUAAAGCUACACACCGUUGCAGUUCUCAAAUCUAGUUCGAAAUUCAUGACUGAGGAAAUAGAUCUCAUAAACUUAUCAUCAGGGUAACUUAAAAAACCGAUAUUUGCUUUAUCAAAACAAGGCUUGUUCUCAAUCGAGCAAGAAUCUUCCGAAUAAUCUCUGUAGAAAAAUUUCUUUAAAGCCGGGGAAUCUAUAACCAAAGAUCCUCCUAUUCCUUCGUUGUGCACUCCAAAAAAAUUAACAUUAACAUAUAUCAAGCAUUCCAAAGAUGUGACUUUUAUAUUGAAAUUUCUAACGUUGUCCUGGUGAUGUCUUUUUACCCAUAAAAGUUUGAGAAUAGGACAAUUCGAUAAAAGCCUAACAAGAGAAUCUUCAUCUUUAUACACCACACAGUAAAGGGAAAUGCUUUUAAGGGAUGAGAGGCAAACCCGAGAAGGAUCAUCCACGAUAAUAUUGUUGGAAAGAUGUAGUUCAACAAGUGUAUCACAUGUGUAAAGGCUCUUAGACAAACUGGCCGGUUCCGCGGACCAUGUGAUCAUCAACGUUAGCUCGCGCACCCUACGAGCAACAGCAAUUGCAAUCCACUUUCCCACAUCAACAUGAUCUCCAGAAGGACCGAGUUUUAUCAGUAAUGAUUCUAAUACAUGUGCCUUGUGGAGUUGUAACGACUUGUCAAUAAACCGCCAUAAACACCGUUGUUGUUGCUCACUUUUGUCAAAUAAACGGCCAAGUAAACGACCAAAUAAACCACCAGUAAAUACUUUGUGAGUAUCAUCAUAGUACCCUAGUCUUGGCACCAUCGUCCAAAUAGACCGCCAUCGUUUUGACAAAAUCAUAGUGGCCACUACAUCUUUCGUGCCCGGGAGAAACAACAAUAUAUGCAUGAGCAAAUCAUCCGGCAACGCACUGAUCCUGUCUUCACCUCUAAUUCUCUGACAACAACGUUUGGCUCUGUUCUUCACAAAUCGAAGCCAUGUUUGUUGUAAUUGUAUAGAUAUCGCAUAGGCAACAUGCAUUGAGCUGAAAAUUAAUAAAAGUCGUCCCAACAUCUUUUCUAGCUGAAACUACACCAAUGUUUCUUCUUUCUCUCGUUAAUAUUUAUUAGGGUUUAGGGUGAGAUAUUAUCUCUAACCUUUUUUUUUUUUUGUAAGAUAUUAUCUCUAACUUUUCUUAUAUCUUUUUGUAAGAUUCUUUAUUUUCUACUUUCUCUCGUUUCAAUUUAUUUUUUAACACAAAAUAAAUAAAUAAAAAAAUCAAAUUUCAUAUGCUUAAUAGGUCAAAAUAUUAAGAAUUAAAUUGAAUUAAUUAAUCACCGCACGCAUUCCAAUUAUCCAACGCCGGAGAAGAUCAAUGUGUGUCAUUUCCUCCGGCGAGAAAACACAAACAGAGGAAAAAAAAAGUGUCUUCUUUUUUCGUCCGCGAAUAGAAAAAAUGUCAGCUUUGUGUCCUGUCUGCAAUCUCACGCUUCCUCUCUCCCUAAUCCAAAGGUAUCAACAACCCCUAAUUUCUUCUCUCUUUUCUAUAUGAUCCUUAGUUUCAUCCAUCAUGGUCUUGAUGUGUCUGUCUGGUUAUGGCGGAGGAUUUGACUCAGCCAUGUGAAUUCCCACUUCGAAGACGAUGAAAUCGAUCCACAAAUCGAAAGUGACCACCAUUUGGCUCUGCAACUCGCUUCUUCUUCUUCUGACCCUUCUCCGUCUUCCUCUGCGUCAUCAUCUGUAAUGCUUUCUUAAAACCCUUGAAUCUUCUUUCCUCUCCUGCGUUUGGUUGCGUAAAGAAAACCCAUUUGACAAAGUUGUCUCUUUGGUGCAUUUACAGACCAAGAGUCAAUUCUACAGUGUAGGUCAUGGUGGUUUGAUUUGUUUGCUGAGGAACUGUUUGGAAUCAGAACUGAGAUCGAAAUCGAAACCUUUAGAGAGUAGUACUAGUUUACUAUCAGGCUUUGUUGAUCAUUUUCAAUCUUCAAUGGAGGAUAAAGGUUGGGGAUGUGGAUGGAGGAAUAUUCAAAUGCAAUGUUCUCAUUUGCUUUCUUGUAGAGUAGAAGCUAAAAGAGUUCUCUUUAGUGGCUCUAAUUUUGUUCCUGAUAUUCCUUCGCUCCAGCGAUGGCUUGAGUUAGCUUGGAGCAAGGGGUUUGAUGUUUCUGGAGCUCUCCAGUUUGAUAAUCGAAUCUGUGGUUCCAAGAGAUGGAUUGGAACUACUGAAUGUGCUGCGUUGUUACGUUCUUUCGGGUUAAAAGCUAUGAUUGUUGAUUUUGCUCCUAAGAAGUCUAAGUCAAUGUAUCUUUCAGUUCCUGGUUCUGCUAUUGCUCCCAAGGUAAAGUCAUAUGGUCCCAUGGACAGAUAUGUGGUUAAAAAGGGGGGAAGUGGGAAGGGAAAAGCAGUUGACUCUCAUAGCUCUAAUUCUUCUAGGAUCAGCAAAGGAGCGGUUUUAAUGGAAUGGGUUUGGAAUUACUUCUCAGAUAACAGAUUAAAUGUUUCUUCCGGUGUUCAUAUGACGAACAAAGGGUAGGUUGUUCUGUUUCAGUUCUUGGUCUUGGAAUGUCUUUUAUAACUUCAAAACACAUUACAUAUAAGGUUUGUGAGUUGAUGUUAUCGUGUGUACUGCAGGCCCUUGUAUUUCCAACAUGAAGGGCACUCGAGGACAAUUGUUGGGAUUCAGAGACGGUUGCUAGGAACUACAUUUACUCCUCAGUACAAUCUCCUGAUUUUAGAACCGGCUGAUGUUAGUAUACUGUUCUUUUUAAUGAUUAGGGAACUCAGUGACGACAUGUCUAUGCAUGAACAUCAGCUUUUACUUGAAUCUGAUUAAUGAUUGUGAGACUUGAAUGUGAAUGCAGUUUACUAGAGCUAUAGAGAAAGCGCUUAUAGAGAAGAGAGGAUGGGAGGGAUAUCUUAAAAGAGGAGCUCACACAUUGACGAGUCCCGAGUAUCAGGUCUCAGCUUCGAACUCUGAUAUCCAUCAUUGCUUUGUUAUUUGGCAAAAAGUUGAGUGAUUUGAUCUGAGUGUGAUUGGGAAAUGUUAUAAUGAUAUAUACAUACAGAUGUUGUACGUUGAUAAUGGAAUUGCUGAUGGAGAGGAGUUGGAGAAGCUCAAGACCAUUGAUAGUCACUUUGUUGAAUUCUAAUUGCUUUCAUAAAAAUUGAAGAAUGGUUCUUGGAGAUUCGUAGAUUGAUUGCAGUUGUAUACUUCUGUAUCAUAUGCAACAUUUUGUAAUUGCUAAGGAAAAGCUCAUAUAACAUUGACAUUUUAUAUAUUUUGCAUCAGAGUGGAUUGUUUAUAUAAUUCAUAAGCAUUUCUCUUUUUUCAAGAAUAUGUUAGAAGUCAGACUACUAAGACUUUCCGAAUGAAAGAUUAUUAUGGUUUGGAUGAUAAACAAGUUUCAACAGUCAAUAUUUUGCUUUGAAUUAUUCAGAGUUCAGACACUAUGUUUCUUUGAACAGUACCAACUUUGGAUUGUUGUGAAAACUACUAAGAGCAUAUAAGAUGUGGCUAUUUAUUAGAAACAUUGAGAAAGACUAAAAUGUGAAAAUACAGAAUGGCAAUUUGAGAUUUUUGUCCAGAGAUAGCAUCUUCAUCACCACACCUAAAAAUAGAAAUGUCUUUUUUCCAAAAGCACUUAAACUAGAGAGAAUGAGUCAUAAAGAAGAAAAAAAAGGCUAUAGAGCUUUUUUCGAUUCCCCCAGUUUGGUGAUCCUUUCUUCCUCUGGGAACAAAACUUUUUCAUGUGUGCCUCAAAUGAACAACAUAACCUCACUGUUGCUCUUCCAUGGACUCUGAAAAUGGUGACAUUUUAGAGGUUUUGUUGGUUAUUUAAGAGGCAGAUGCAGCCACCUUCUUCCUCACAAUCCUUUUCCGCCUAGCCUUUGGAGGUGGAGGAUCUGAAACUGAGUCCUCUUGCUUCUUCCCCAGUAGCCCUGAGACAAUUGCAUUCUUUGAGAUGAACCAUCUUGAAGAUGGCUUUGCUACUGCUUCCUCUGACGGUCGGUUGUAUGCUUUUGCCAGCAGAUCAUCUGACUGCGCCAGUGGAUCUGCCUCCACACCUAGCCAUACCUGUCUUGACUUUUCCCCUAAUUGAACAUUCAUAAUCCUGUACCACAUCCAUCCAUAUUCAUCAACGUUCUUGAUCCCCAGAAUAAAGGUUUCCUAAGUCCUAAGACAGAGUUUUACAAUACAACAUCCAAACGUCCCACAUGUCCUGUUUAUGUAUGUUAUGGACAUAUGUGGGAGAGGAGGGUGGGAGAAAGAGAGGAAUACCUCAAGGCAGUGCCGAAGAAGAGUGCAACUCCUAUGACAUCAAAGUGGCUGCUCACUCCUCUUUCAAAUCCACAUAACAGCUGAUAUCUCAAGUUCGCAUAUAUUCCAAGAAAUGCACCAUAACCAAGAGCAUUUGUGCUGAUAGAUGGGACCGUCACAGAUACUCUGUCAGAACAAAGGUACAACAAGUUAAGCAUGAGCUGGAAAAAAAAGCAGACAUGCUGCCCGAGUGAAUCAAGAGAUUUGUAAUCCUAAGAUAGAAACAGAAGAUCUGUGAUGACCUGUUCUUCUUCUUUCCUGCCAGAAAGUUUGACAACGAACCCUGGAGAGUUCCUGCUGCGAGUCCAAGAAUGGACAACUCUGCUGCCUUGUAGAAAAGAGAAUGAAAUCUCUUUUGCAAGUCGAACUCUCUAAGAGGAUAGCUCAUUUCAAAUAAAUUAUUUGGUAGCUUUUGUAGUGUAUUUUGCAGGUCAAACCGGAAUGUGUUUCCAUAGGAACGACAUGGAGCUAGCAACCAAACAGCAGCUGCAUUGCAUGCUGAUACAGUAAGAACAUUUAUAAGUGCAAGAUCCCAUUCCUCUUUUAGUCUGCAAAUCAUAGAGUAUGCAAUUUAGGACACGAAACUAGAAGCUACAAAACCUUCAAAGUUUAGGUAGAUGGACAGGAACAUACCUAUUCUUACGAUUCUUCACCUCCCACCAAACCGAGCAUCCAACCGUGGCAGCUUGCUCCAAAAGAAGUUUAUAGAGAAAUGCAGGAUCCGCCAACAUCCUACACAAGACAGUCACCUUAGUCAAGACUGCAUAUAGUCUAACAUUAUAGAAACUUAUAACUUAAGAGACAACGAAGUUUACAUGGACAGAUGGAUUCUCAGAAGAAACCCUAAAAUUACCUGCCAACAAAGGCCCUCGACAAUCCCUGAGGAAGAGCACGGGAGAUCAUUCUAGUUGUUGUAGGACGGGCAUUUAUAGCAAGGAAUUUCACCAUUUGUGCUGAACUGACC
rnacentral:lncRNA from 1 species